UUUUUUUUUUUUUUUGAGCCAGGGUCGAACCCAAAACCUGGGACGACAGAAGAUAAACUUCAAACCACUUGAGCUAUUCACAUUUAGUUAGGCUUAAAUUAGGUUAGAGGACGCACACGAAUAUGAAAAAUGCCAACCUUCCAUGUUGAGUUGAAUAUAUUGAGAAAUCAUUAGAGAAUAUCUACUAAUAAUAAUUAUCCAAAAGAAAUAUAUUUUCUUUUUUUCAUCCUGCCAGAAAAAAAUUUAGACAUAUAUUGCCUUAACCACAAUGGGACUCCUCACAAAGUGCUUACCAUCUGACCAUAUCAGCUUUCCAAACACAUAAUCCUUAGCUGCAUUUCUCUGUUUGAUCUUCAAUGUCAGUUCAAAACUCUUCUCUUCACCUACCCUCUCAAAUCUCAUGCUAUGUGGUUCAACUGAAGCUGUUAUUCCAGGUGGCCUAAUUACACGUGCUUUGUACGUACCUGGUGAACCUACAUUCUUAACUGUUCUAGUCACUGUGAUCGAGCCAUUGAGGUUCGGGACAGUGAUGGAAGGAUAAUUGAAGUCUGUCAGACUAAUUUGUUUCGGGCAAGUAUAAGGCUCCUCUGAAAAUAGUGUGAUCUGGCUUUGGUUGUAAUGAAGGGAACAUAGAAAUGUGAGGUAAUCGUUUACAGUUAAGUCGUAAACCAGUCCAGGAUCCAUAGCGCGGUUUGGUUCCACGUGUCCUGCUCCAUAGGAGAACGGCGUUGCCUUUAAGUGGGAUACAUUGGUCAUUGCAUGUAUAGUGUUAUCUUGUGUUCUUGCUGAAAAUUUAAGAAUUUAUUAGCAAAACACAGGAGAAAAACAACAGCACAUUGCAACAAGUACUAGGUUAUGCUUACCGGUUGUCAUGAUUGCAGAUUUGAUUGCAGCAGGACUCCAUGUCGGAUAAAUGGUUUUUAGCAGGCCAGCGAUGCCAGACACAUGAGGACAUGACAUGGAAGUGCCUGACAUUGCAUUGAAAACAACUUGGCUCUUGUCAAAUUGCGGAUCUUGAAACGGUCUGUAGGCAGCUAUUAUGCUCACUCCUGGUGCAGUGAUGUCAGGCUGAUCACAUUUAUUAAAGAUUAUAUAGUUAGAUUGAGAUAGUAAUCAGAAUUCAGAACAAUAGUAAAAUUUACUGUAAUAAUUAACUAUGCUAACAAAACCUUGAGGAUCUCUGGAGUUACAGGGUUUGGUCCAGCUGAUGAAAAAACAGCCAUUAGGGGAGCUGGUUUGAUACCCAAUUGAGUUGUUGGACGGGUUAAGUAAGCCACUGGAGACCUGUUGAAUGUCGGAUAAAGUUCAGAACAGGAUAGCAUGUCUGUACCCGUAAAAUUGUAUAAAUCAAAUAAUUAUUAGUUUUGAUACUUGGUUGAAUGGAUGUAUUGGUAGACCGCAAGGCCAUCAGAGUAUGUGAUAUGUGAGACAGGUAGCACGUGAGGAUCAGCGACAAUUUCAUUUCCAGUAAGGUCAUUGUUAGCAAGAAUCAUUCCCAGGGCACCUGCUGAAAGAGCUUGUUUGCCCUUGUCAACCCUCCCAUUAUCACCUCGAAGACACACCAAUAUUUUUCCCUUCACUUCACUAGAAUCCAGGGAUCCAGAUUUACAAUGCUCACUGAAGGAAUUGAAAAGAUCACCAAAGGUGCUGUUACAUUAGCUUAACUUGUACGCAUCAAGCAUUAUUAGAAUCAAAAUACCAAUAGCUUGGGGUCCUUACGCGUCUUCUUCAGAUGCAUAUGAUGCUUUGGCAUCUUUAGAUAGAAUAACUGGAUAGAACUCCUUGCUUGGCAAUGCAUCUAUUGAAAGGCUUUCCCCCUAAAAUAUGAGAAUUGUUAGAUCAGCUUUUGCUCUAAAAUGAGAUACAGUUUAUGAAAUUAUGUGACCAAGAUUAGACAACUAACCUUGAUCUGCAUCUUGUUGCCAAGACUGACAUAACUAGGAAACUGGCGAUCCAUGGUGCUGGCUCCAACCGUAAAUUGCCAUGGUGAUACAUUUGCAACAGUACCAGCAUCUGGUCCAGAGUUUCCAGCUGAACAGACCACAAAUAUACCAUGCUUCACAGCAUGAAAAGAACCAAUGGCAACACUAUCAUUAAAAAACCCAACAGCAUCAUUUCCCAGUGAAACAGACAACACGUCUACACCAUCGUCAAUAGCAACAUCAAACGCAGCUAAUAUAUCUGCAUCACAGCAUUCAUUAUCACCCUUGGGGGGCCAGCAAACUUUGUAGGCAGCCACUCGUGCUUUUGGUGAUCCACCUUUUGCUGUCCCAUUGCCAAAACCAAAAACAUUUGCCCCAGGCACAAAACUUCCACCAGCUGUUGAUAAGGUAUGUGAUCCAUGUCCUCCAGUAUCACGUGGUGAGUCGUAGGAUGGAUCAAGAGAUCCAACUAAAGCAGCAUAACCUUUGUUAAAAUAUCUUGCCCCAAUUAGCUUCCUUCAAUAUAGGGCAAAGGUAGGUUUAAUAAGACAUAGUGUGGCACCAUCCUUCGUGUCUAUAGUGCAAAGGUACACGUAGAAUGACAUUGGAUAAAAUUACUAUACCUGUUGCAGUGGAAGCCUGGAUCAACAUCAUUUUGGCAAAUACCUUUCCACUUUGAUGGAACUGGUCCUAGUCCUUCAUCACUAAAGCUCAUUGAUUCUGGCCAAACACCUGGACCAAUUCCGAUAAAUUAAUAAAAGGUGAGGCCUGAGUUAGUUGACAAUGCACCUGAUAACUGACAUAUGUAAAUUUGUAUUGUAAAUUCAUUGCUAAUUACACAUUAGUUCCUGCUGCACUAGCUUUUUGAGUAAAAAAGAAUGGACUAGUUUGUCAAAGCUUUUAUGUAACUUCAGAUUAUUUGAAUGAUAGUUUAUGCAAACUGCAUUUGCUGUGAAGCUCCAGAUGCCUGACAGAGAGGAGUACAAUCUGAUUACUAAUCAACAGUAAGAAAGCUAGAUAAACACUGAUCAUCAUAAGGGGUAGUUUUGUGACUUUGUCCAUAGAUCUCCGAAUGAAAUGUGAGUUCGAUGAGUAACAAGGCCACCAAUGGAAGGAACACUUGACAAACUAAUACUGCAAAUACUCUGCAUUGGAACUUCAGUCCCACAAAAUCCCAGUCAACCAAUAUGAUGGAUCUGUAACAAUAUUUAAAACAACUGGCUCAACAGCAACUAUUUUCUCGAGAAAAGAAGUACAUUGGUUAUGUAGAAUAAGCCAAGCAUCCUCGAGUAAUAUUAUAUGAGGACUUUGUGCCAGAUUAAAAAUAUUUUUUCACACAAGACCCUUAAUAUAUUACGUCUGAAGCCAGUGAUCCAAAUUUUAAAAAUUGAAGAAAACUGUUCAAGAUUGACUAAUUAAUAAUCCGUUUGACUAAAUUUUCGUAAGUACCUAAGAUUUGCUUAUACCGAUGACCCCUAAUUCAUCUAGUCUACAGAUAAAGAGCAAAUUUAAGAUAUUCAACUCGGGUAGGAAUUAAGAAAAUGAUGCAACUUUGUAUGAACUUCAAAUAUGUUUCGGAUCACUAACAAUAAGAAUAGAGGAAACUAACCGGUAUCUAGAUUGCCAAUGAUAGCAUCUUCACCAAAUCUGGCCUUUUGCCAGAUCGAGCUGGGGAGGAUUGCACCACCAUCCUCGAGCCCCAUGAAUUCCCAUGACCUCGUUGUAUGUAAUUUUCUUGCCUUGUUCAGAAAAACCGAGACAACUUUGGGAUGCUCUGCAUAAGUGACAUAUCGCACAAAUAAAUAUUUUUUUAAAAAAAAGAAGCUAAAAUCCGAAUAAAUUGAUAUCAGAACAGAACACAAGCAUUUUGGUUUCAGAAGUACUAGCUAUCUGAGCUGCUGCUUCAUCAUCAAGCAUUGCAGCAAAACCAUUAAUGUGUCUUGUAUACGAGUAAAAGAUGGAAUCUUUGGCCUCUUCGGUCCUACAUUUUUCAACAACUUCAAGCAUGUCAAGAUUGCUUAUCAAUAUAAAAAAAACUGUUAAUUUCAAAAAAAAAUUGACUAGAGGUUUUACUCUGCCAAGAAUGACUGAAGAAACAUAUAAUGUGACUCAGUCACUCGAUCAUAAUCAACAGGCGAGACACUUUUGCCGUGAGAAUGAGCUCCCAUGUACACCACAAAAGAGUGCUGCCAAAGAAAUUUUGAAACUAAUAAUGAGGGAGCAAUUCAAAUACAGAAACAUAGCCAUCAGAUUAGAUGCUAAUAAGGAUGCUUACCUUCUCCGUAGCAAAGGUGGGAGUAUGCAAUAGCGAUAAAAGAAUAAGUGACAGAAAGACGCGAAGGGAAGUGGCAGUAGCUGCUCCCAUUUCUUCUUCUUAUGUUAGCAAGGAGAAACAAUAUAGUACUAGAAAAAAAUGGCCAUUUCGGCAUAUAUAGUACAAUUUUUGGGUCCCGUCGUUGGAAGCUCUAAUCCUAAUUUUUUUUUUUUUAUGUGAAUAGAGGGGUCUACAUCACCCUUCCAGAGCUUUAGCCACCCCUUCUAGAGUUUUUGGCGUCAGCCAAUGAAAAACGCUCAAAGAUGGUUAUAAACAAUCGCUUGUCAGGGACCAGCUCCCUUUAUAGUUUUUUCUAUGUAAAACAAUGUUGUUUGAGUUUAAAUUUCAGUUAUAACGAGGGCUUAUUUCGCAGCACAAAACUAAACAUUUCUGUAGCAGAAUUGUACUCUGGACAUAAAGGCUUCUGUACUCCUAUGCAGUCGUCUUCUUCUCAUAAAGGUUCUGCUCUUCUCUACCGGGCUGUAUUGAACCAGAUUCAAGCUACGUUCUUGAGCUGGAUAUGCAAGUUAUUGUGCCUACAAAUUAUGUUGGAGAGAUUGUUCUUUUUCUAAGGAGGCAGGUGGCUUGGGGAUUUGAGACACUUAGAAAUGCAAUUAUGCUUCAUUUUUUUUUUCCCAGCAUUGGAGAAUAACUCAGUUUUCUUCAUGUUCACUGGACUAAGAAAAUACUUGCAAAUUUUUCUUGGUGUGUCCGAGAACUUUUCAAAGUCAGGGAUUUUGCAAGGGAGAAAAUUCUAUAUUGCCUCAACUACAAUGGGACUCCUCACAAAGUGCUGCAUUUCUCUGUUUGAUCUUCAAUGUCAGUUUAAAACUCUUCUCUUCACCUACCCUCGCAAACCUCAUGGUAUGUGGUUCAACUGAAGCUGUUAUUCCAGGUGGCCUAAUACGAGAAUCUAACUUACUUCAUGGCUCUCCUGAGUUCUGCAUUCAAAACCAAAAUUUCCCUCGUUUUAUUACCAAUCUCUAAACAUUCUUGCUUCUUUUGUUCCAAACUGCCUUCUAACAGCUUAGUAAAGGAGCAAACUUUACUCUCAACAUUCAAGAAAUGUGUCACAUUAAAAGAUGUAGAACAAGUACAUGCACAAAUCAUUCAAUCUGGCCUUGACCAAAAUCUCUAUCUUAUGGGCAAGAUCAUUGUGUUUUGCGCAGUCUCUGACCGCGGUUCAAUGGACUAUGCAACCUCUGUCUUCAAGAAUCUUGAGAGCCCAGAUGGGUUUACUUGGAAUUCAAUGAUCAGAGGGUUUGUUAGGACAAUGCAAGUUGAGAAUAUUAUUGGGUAUUUCAAGAAAAUGCAAGAAACUGGGGAAAAGGCUGAUAAUUUCACUUUCUCUUUUUUGCUUAAAGUUAGUGGGCAAUUGGGGUCUGUUUUGUUGGGGGAACAGAUACAUUGCAGUGUUGUGAAACAUGGGUUGGAGGGUCAUGUGUUUGUGAGGAACACUUUGAUUCAUAUGUAUGGGAUGUUGAAGGAUAUCGACACUGCGCAGCAGCUGUUUGAUGAAAGGCCCGGUGGGAAUGUGGUGACUUGGAAUGUUAUCAUUGAUUGUCAUGUUAAUUGUGGUAAUUACAAGAGGGCGCACGAGUGUUUUUCCAGGAUGAGGAGGUGUGGUGUGGAGUUUGAUGAUGUUACAUUGGUUGCGGUUCUGACAGCAUGUUCUGUGUUGGGGAAUUUGGAUUUUGGGAGGUGGAUUCAUCGCCUUGCUGAUAAAGCUGGCCUGGGGAGCAAUGUUAUGGUUCUGAAUUCACUGAUUGAUAUGUAUGCAAAAUGUGGACAAGUUGAGGAAGCGUACAAGAUUUUUAGUGAGAGUAGCGAGAGGAAUUUAGUGACGUGGAAUUCAAUGAUAUUAGGAUUGGCAACGCAUGGCCAAGCCAGUGAAGCGUUGAAACUGUUCUCUACUUUGUUAGCUGAAAAGUUGCAGGUUCCUAAUGAUGUUAGUUUCCUGGGAGUUUUAUGUGCAUGUAGCCAUGGAGGAAUGGUAGAAAAAGGGAAAAAGUAUUUUGAUUUGAUGACAAGAGAGUAUGGAAUUAAAGCUAACAUACAACACUAUGGAUGUGUGGUUGAUAUGCUGGGUCGGGCUGGUUUUGUUAAUGAGGCUUACCAUUUUAUUAAAAGCAUGCCAUUGAAAUGCAAUGCUAUUGUGUGGAGGACUCUGUUGGCUGCUUGUCGAGUUCAUGGGAACAUUGAACUAGGAGAAGUAGUGAGAAGGCAUUUGUUGGAAUUGGAGCCAGAUCAUAGCAGCGAUUAUGUGCUUCUUGCAAACAUGUAUGCAGGUUCAGGGAAGUGGAGAGAUGUGAUGAAUGAGAGACAUUCGAUGUGGACUAGGGGAGUCCAGAAACCAAUGCCUGGCAACAGCAUCAUUGACAUGCAACCUAUUCAUUGAAAUUUGCAGCAGGUUUCUCUAUAAAGAAAAUAUUGUUUUUUUUCAAACAUAAUUCAAAUCUGAAAUCAGAAAACUGUGCAAUUAACAUCUGAAUUAUUAACAAAGAUAAGAAAGAUAAAUAAAGAGGUCUACAAAUAUUGACCCUAAAGUCAGCACAUUGUUCUCACAACAGACCAAAGAGAAAGAGUUUACUUUGCAUUUGCAAUCAUCAUAAAAAAUCAGUACUCAACACACUCUGUGUGAGCUACAGUAAAAUAAACAGGCCAAAACAAAUGAAGAGGAGAAUAAUGAUCUAAUCAUAAUAAUCAAGGGCUAUGAAAAAGAAGAAGAAUAAAUUAUCAUUAUAACCUGCUAGCAUUAAAAUUUUAAAAUGCCUUAACCACAAUAGGACUCCUCACAAAGUGCUUACCAUCUGACCAUAUCAACUUCCCAAACACAUAGUCCUUGGCUGCACUUCUUUGUUUGAGCUUCAUUGUAAUUUUAAAUUUCUUCUCUUCGCCAAUCUUUCCAAAUUUCAGGCUAGUUGGCUUAACUGCAACUGUUAUUCCUGGUGGCCUAACUAUGCGUGCUUUGUACGUACCUGGUGAACCAACAUUUUUAACCGUUCUGGUCACUGUAAUUGAGCCUUUGAGGUUAGGGACGGUGAUGGAAGGAUAAUUGAAAUUCAUGAGAAUAAUGUGUUUCGGGCAGGUAUAAGGCUCCUCUGAAAACAGUGUGAUCUGACUUUGAUUGUAAUUGAGGGAACACAAGAAUACAAGGUAAUCGUCUACAGUUAGGUCAUAAACCAAUCCGGGAUCCAUAGCACGGUUUGGUUGCACAUGUCCUGCUCCAUAUGAGAAAGGUGAUGCCUUCAAGUGGGAUGCAUUGGUCAUUGCAUGCAUAUUGUUAUCCUGUGUUCUUGCUGGAAUGUUAAGAAUAUAUAUCAGCAUAGCAGACGUAUUCUUCAUAUAGUUCAAGUAGUAUAUGAUGUAAACUAAAUUGCUUGGAUGAAAGUUCCUUAUAUAUGAUAAGACCUUAGAAUUUCUUCUAACUAUUUCAUUUUUUAACAGUAAGAAAAAAAUCCUAACUAGAUGAAAGAUAUAGACUCUGCUGUACUGCAACGACGAGGAUAUUCUUACCAGUAGUCAUGAUUGCAGAUUUGAUUGCAGCAGGACUCCAUGUUGGAUACAGAGUUUUCAGCAGGCCGGCAAUGCCAGAAAUAUGAGGGCAUGACAUGGAAGUUCCUGAUACUGCAUUAAAAAGAACUCGUCGCUUGUCAAAUCGCUGAUUUGUUGGUCCUACUUCUCUUGUGUAAGCAGCUAUUAUGCUUACUCCUGGGGCAGUGAUAUCAGGCUGAAAAAUUAUAACAUCAUUACUAUUUAGCACAUAUAUUUAUGUAUUUAUGUUUACCAGAACUGGUAAAAUCUAAAAUUAGGUAUUCUUGCAGAACCUUGAGGAUCUCAGGAGUGACAAGGUUUGGUCCUGUUGACGAAAAAGCAGCCAUGAAGGGAGCUGGUUUUGUACCUAACUGAGUUGUUGGACGGGUUAAGUAAGCCACCGGAGACCUGUGAAUGUUGGAUAAAGUUUAGAAAGGAAUAUGUACCAUUAGCUUUAUAUAAAACAACUUAUAUAAUUAAAUUUAUUUUCUAGUUGCCAUACUUAGUUGAUUGGAUGUAUUCAUAGACGGCAAGGCCAUCAGUGUAGGUAAUAUGUGAGGCAGGAAGCACAUGAGGGUCAGCGAUUAUUUCAUUUCCAGAAACUUCAUUGUUAGCGAGGAUCAUUGCCACAGCACCUGCUGAAAGAGCUUGCUGGCCCUUGUCAACCCUGGCAUUAUCACCCCGAAGACAGACCAAUAUCUUUCCCUUCACCUUAGUAGAAUCCAAAGAUCCAGCUUUGCAAAGUUCACUGAAUGAAUAAAAAGAUCACCAGAAGACACUGUCAUGUUUGCUAGACUUUUUUAGUGAAUAGUUUGUAUGCAACAAGCAUUAUUAGAAUCAGACUACCAAUAGCUUCUGUCCUUACGCGUCUUCUGCAUAUGCAUCAGCAGCUUUGGCAUCUUUAGAUCUAACGACUGGAUAGAAAUGCUUUCUUGGCAAAACUUCUACUGAAAGACUUUCUCCCUAAUAAGAAAGAAAAAAAAGUUUUGCUAGAUCAGCUUCUAAAAGAACAAAUGCUUAAUAUGAUCAUUUGCAUGUUUUAUGUUUGAGAAUUGGUGUUCCAUCUUCUCAUCGAUUCACAGUUCUUCUUAUAUAAUAUUCCCUCCGCUGAGUUAACAGUAAUAUUUUUCAAGUGUGUUCAUGGGGAUAUCAACUCUGACUCUCUGAGUCCACGACACAAAAAUUAUACUCCCUCCGUUUCAAAUUACAUGUCCACUUUCAAAAAAUCACAUAGUUUAAGAAAAGUGGAUUUUGAGAAAAAAGAGGUGUAAUAAGUCAUUAAUUGAACUUAAUAUGUGGUAUAUGGUUGAUCUUGGAAAUAUAAAUUUGAAAUGUGUGGAGGAGAGUUGAUUUUGGAAAUAUAAAUUUACAUUGAAAGUUUAAGUGGACAAGUAUUGUGAAACAAAACUUUUUUUCUAAAGUGGACAUGUAUUUUGAAACGGAGGGAGUAUUUAUGAAAAAUUUGACUAGGAUGAGGACAACUAACCUUGAACCGAAUCUUAUUGCCAAGAGUGACAUAACUAGGAAACUGGCGAUCCAUGGUGCUGGCUCCAACUGUGAAUUGCCAAGGUGCUACGUUCGCAACAGUACCUGCAUCUGGUCCAGAAUUUCCGGCUGAACAGGAAACAAAUAUCCCAUGCUUAACAGCAUGAAAAGAACCAAUGGCCACGCUGUCAUUGAAAAACCCAACAGCAUCACCUCCCAGUGAAACAGACAGCACAUCCACACCAUCAUCAAUGGCAACAUCAAAUGCAGCUAAUAUAUCUGCAUCAAAGCACUCAUUACCACCCUCAGGGGGCCAGCAGACCUUGUAUGCAGCCACUCGUGCUUUUGGUGAUCCACCUUUUGCUGUCCCAUUGCCGUAACCAAAAACAUUUGCCCCAGGCACAAAACUACCACCUGCUGUUGAUAAAGUGUGUGAUCCAUGUCCUUCAAUAUCACGUGGUGUGUCAUAGACCGGAUCAAGAGAUCCAACUACAGCAGCAUAACCUUUGUUAAAAUACCGAGCUCCAACCAGCUUCCUUCAUUAAGAGAAAACAUAUAUAUCAAUACCCUGUCAACUUUCAAGCUAACUUAACAUAAUGAAUAUGGAAAAUCAGGCAUAGAAAGCUGAGAAACCACUUCUACAAAUUGAAUUAGCAAGACAUAGUGCAGUGCAAUCCUCCCUGUCAAUAAUGCAGAGGUCCCUGUAGAGGGCCACAAUUAGAACACAUUGUAUAAAGUGAUUAUACCUGUUGCAGUGAAAGCUGGGAUCACCAUCAUUUUGACAGAUGCCUUUCCACUUUGAUGGAACUGGUCCCAGUCCUUCAUCACUAAAGCUCUCAGAUUCCGGCCAGACACCUGGACCAUUCCCAAUACACAAAACAUGAGGCUAGAGAUAGUUGACAUUGAACUUGAUAAUUGACAUUGGUAUCGUACUCCUUCAGUAACCAAAUUCGUGGCCCCGAAGGCUGGAACAUGACCGUAAAUUUCUUGUUAAUUAUACUCUAGCUUCUGUUGUACACAUGCAUGCACAUUUCUAACUUUAAGAGUAAAACAAGCACUUUCUGGGACCAUUUUUUCCAAACUUGUCNUAUGAAAAAUUUGACUAGGAUGAGGACAACUAACCUUGAACCGAAUCUUAUUGCCAAGAGUGACAUAACUAGGAAACUGGCGAUCCAUGGUGCUGGCUCCAACUGUGAAUUGCCAAGGUGCUACGUUCGCAACAGUACCUGCAUCUGGUCCAGAAUUUCCGGCUGAACAGGAAACAAAUAUCCCAUGCUUAACAGCAUGAAAAGAACCAAUGGCCACGCUGUCAUUGAAAAACCCAACAGCAUCACCUCCCAGUGAAACAGACAGCACAUCCACACCAUCAUCAAUGGCAACAUCAAAUGCAGCUAAUAUAUCUGCAUCAAAGCACUCAUUACCACCCUCAGGGGGCCAGCAGACCUUGUAUGCAGCCACUCGUGCUUUUGGUGAUCCACCUUUUGCUGUCCCAUUGCCGUAACCAAAAACAUUUGCCCCAGGCACAAAACUACCACCUGCUGUUGAUAAAGUGUGUGAUCCAUGUCCUUCAAUAUCACGUGGUGUGUCAUAGACCGGAUCAAGAGAUCCAACUACAGCAGCAUAACCUUUGUUAAAAUACCGAGCUCCAACCAGCUUCCUUCAUUAAGAGAAAACAUAUAUAUCAAUACCCUGUCAACUUUCAAGCUAACUUAACAUAAUGAAUAUGGAAAAUCAGGCAUAGAAAGCUGAGAAACCACUUCUACAAAUUGAAUUAGCAAGACAUAGUGCAGUGCAAUCCUCCCUGUCAAUAAUGCAGAGGUCCCUGUAGAGGGCCACAAUUAGAACACAUUGUAUAAAGUGAUUAUACCUGUUGCAGUGAAAGCUGGGAUCACCAUCAUUUUGACAGAUGCCUUUCCACUUUGAUGGAACUGGUCCCAGUCCUUCAUCACUAAAGCUCUCAGAUUCCGGCCAGACACCUGGACCAUUCCCAAUACACAAAACAUGAGGCUAGAGAUAGUUGACAUUGAACUUGAUAAUUGACAUUGGUAUCGUACUCCUUCAGUAACCAAAUUCGUGGCCCCGAAGGCUGGAACAUGACCGUAAAUUUCUUGUUAAUUAUACUCUAGCUUCUGUUGUACACAUGCAUGCACAUUUCUAACUUUAAGAGUAAAACAAGCACUUUCUGGGACCAUUUUUUCCAAACUUGUCUAACAGGGCAUGUGAUGCCGCAAUUAUAAUAUAAGAGAGGCUUAUAUAAACAACAUCCUGGUAUAAAUAAUGAAACAAUCCAUAAUUAUAUAUGCAAACAGUUUGAUAAAGCAUCUUAAAGGGCAAUUAUGUCCAUGAAUUUUUCUAUGAAACAUAUGAAUAAUCCCAGCCCAGUGAAGGAAUACUAAUGGAUCUGUGCAGCAAUAUAGUUUUUAAACAACUAACCGGGUCAAGAUUUACUAUCCUUCUCAAGAAAAGAUGUGCAUUGGUUAUGUAGAAUAAGCCAAGCAUCUUAAAGAGUGAUAGUAUAAAACUGAGAUUUAUAGAAUACAAGAUUGUUUGGACUUCUGUGUCAGACUGUCAGACAAAAAUAUUUAACAGGACAAAACUGUUAUUAUAUUUAUUUUCGAAGUCAAUGAUCUGGACUUCUGAUACCCAAGACAACCGUGUAUAUUAAUCAAGAGUUUGUUUGAUUGAGCUUUUUUUAAGGUGCUAAAAUGUACUUCUGACAAUGAAUUCUGACUUAUAAGUCGUAAACAAGUUCAGAAAUUUAGCUAAACGGUAUCAAGUGACUAGGCUCAGGCAAGAAAAUGAUGCUGAUUAUCCCCAUGAUCAGUGACAAUAUCAAUAGAGGAAAACUAACCAGUGUCUAGAUUGCCAAUGAUAGUAUCUUCACCGAAUCUGGCCUUUUUCCAGAUCGAGCUGGGACGGACUACACCAUGAUCUUCGAGCCCCAUGAAUCCCCAUGACCUGGUGGUAUGUAAUUUUCUCCCCCUGUUUGGAAAAAUCGAAACUACAUUGGGAUGCCCUGCAUUAAAAACAUUAAUUGCAACCUUAGUUAAAUAAAUUUACUUAAAAAAAAUAUUUUCAAUAUGAAACAAAGCACAAGCAUUUGAUUCCCAUCUUACUAGCAAUCUGGGCUGCUUCUUCAUCAUCAAGUGUUGCAGCAAAACCAUUAAUGUGUCUUGUAUACGAGUAAAAGAUGCAAUCUUUAGCCUCCUCAGUCCUGCAUUUUCCGCAAGUCCAAGCCUAAUAAGAUUCCUCAUCAUUCUCAAAUAAAACAAUCUUAGUUACUAGAUUCAUUACCUUGUCAAGAAUGACUGGAGGAACUUAUAAUGUGACUCAGUCACGCGAUCAAGAUCAGCAGACGAGACACUCUUGCCAUGAGAAUGAGCUCCCAUGUACACCACAUAAGAGUGCUACAAAAGAAAAGGACUUAAAGAACUAUAAUGACUUAAUCAUUGAAACAUAGAGGCUUAAUCAUUGUAUCAGAUGCUAAUAAGGAUGCUUACCUUUUCUCUGGCAAAGGUGGGAGCAUGCAGUAGUGAUAAAAGAAUAAGUGAUAAAAAGACACAAAGGGGAGUGGCAGUAGCUGCUCCCAUUUCUCCUUCUUUUGGUAGCUUUCUACACUCAAAUCUUGCUUUCUUCUUGAAUACUACUAUGCAACAUGGGGCAUAUUGGUUAAUUAUAUAGUAGAAAGAUGUGUAACUUUUACUAUUCUAUCCUAUUGCUUAAAGUAUAUGCUAAAUCUGCAGUGCACAAGUUAUACAGCCAAUACCCCUUUAAUAUUAUACUUCCUCUGUGAUAAGACGGUAACUCGGUUCACAAAAUUUCCGCAUUGUACUGCAGGGUCCGAGACGUAACGUAAUCUUAUCUUUAUUUUAUUUGAAAGAGAAAUGAAGUUCUUCUUUCUGAGAUGAUACGCUCACAUGCAUGCAUAUUGCAUAGGCAUUCCUUUACCAUUGUAUAAUAAUAUAUAAAAUCCGAAUUCCUGUCAAUCGAUUUAUACAAUCAGUUUUCAAUAAUCGUUAAUCGUCGAGAUUUUAAUUUUGAAUUAUAGUCAUCCAGAAUUUUCAUCUUCUGACAAAGAAAUUCGCUCAAAAAUAAUUACAACAAUUAUCUGUCAGCACCAGUUUCUUUAGCAUCAACAUAUGUGCUCUCUUUUCCGGUCAAAUUGAGCCUGACAGAUCAGAUUACACAAAGCUACGAUGAAAGCAGGAUCUGAAAGAGCUGGCCAACGGAUACUAAUUUCAAAAGUCGUAGUAUAAUCUAUCGAAAAAUUAAAUAAACCACGUGUAUGAAAUUAAUGUAGGAACGACUUACUAAAAGGCUAAUACACUUAUUUUAGUGAAAUCAUGUCUACUUGUCGUACAUUAUCAAUUGUUUGGUCGACUAUUUUAGCUAUUUUCGUUCUUCAGCACAGAAUCUAUAGAUCUUCCGGCUUCUUAUCUUUUUUCCUAUUAUUAAAUGUUUUAUUUUUUUUACGCUUUUAUUUUAUAUUAUUUGAUUCGCGAAAUGAUAUGAGAUUGAAAUUAGAAAUUGAUAAAGAUUCGAGAUAUCAUAUGAUAUCAUGUGUUUGGUUAAAUAUUAGAAGUAAUAUGCUUCCUCCGUCCCUCUAGGUUGUUUGCGUUCGCCGUUUGCACGCAUUUUGAGUACUAUAAAGUAUAGUUUCACAACUUUUUUAAAAAAAAAAAUUUAAUAAAAAUCUAAAUAUCAAACUUUUAUUCAGGAAAAAAAAAUUAAAAAUAUAUUAUGAAACUAUACCUUAAAUGAGUUUGAAAAAGCGUGCCAAAAAGUAACGUAAAGAAAUGAGUUUUUCCCGUCCAACGUUAAAAUGGGUUUUUCCCGUCCAACGCUAAAAAAGCGCGGGACAUACUCAAAUUUUGUCUUAAUCCUGACCGUUGAAUAUGCAUCCAAUGGCCAGAAAACUGUAUGUUUUUUAACGGAUCACAGCAUACAUAUGCUAGAGACAUUAACCCUUGUAAUGUAUAUAUAUGUUUUGAAAACAAGUAGAUAAAACGAGUAUGAAUAAGAGAAUUUGCCUUAUUGUCGUUUGAUUUAUAAGUCUUGAGUAGCAAGGUUCUUCUGACUGCCUUGAACAUACUGAUCAAAUUCUGUGUCAUAUAAUCUUUGUGCCCAAAAUUAUGUAAUCGGCUUCAAAAGUUGAAAUAACAAAUUUUUAAUUUCAGUUCUUGAGGAAGUUCCGAACAAACUCGAGGCCAUCGUGAUGACCAUAGUCGUGUAGUAGGAUUGGUUUAUGAUGGAGACAAGGAAGACUAGUACAGAGACUCACCCAUCUUUUGGAUAAUAUUCAAGUCUUUACUCCCUCAAGAGAAUCGAGAUGUUUGAGGAUUUUGUGAAUUGGUUCAUCUGGCAAAUCGCUAAUCUUGAUCUACCCCUGCUUCUUGCGUUUCUCCGCCCAUUGUUCAUCAACCCUAGCUUCAGCUUAUGGGCAGGGAAUGAUGUAAGUUUUAAGGCUUUUACAUUCAAUUUGUUCAAUUCGGUCAAAAUCUUUAAGAUUAUAUAUUAAACAAUUAGAAACUAAGGGUCGUUUGACUGGGUUUAAAAAAAGUGAUUUAUUGCUUAAAGUUGCUUAAAGUAAAGAAGUGAAUUAUAAAUAAAAAGUUGGCUUAAACUUAUAGGUUAUUAAAAGUGUUUGGAUACCCGUGACUUAAAAGUCACAAAGAAGCUUCUAAUCAGAAAAAAGCUAGUAACCUAGCUUUUUUUCUUGGCUUCUCAAGCAUCAUUUUAAGUGCUUCUUUAAGUUACCCAAACACCAUGAAAAAAAGUUGAAACCCUCUUUUUUUAUAAAUAAGCCAUAAGUUGGGGUUGCCAAACACCCACUAAAUAAAUUAUAACAUUUACGUCUAUUAUUUGGGUUUUUUUCUAGAUACUUGUCUCUAGUAUUCUGUAAGUAGUUUAAUAUUUCUGUUAUAUAAAUUUUAUAACAUGUAGCUUUGUCCAAUGAUUAAGAAAUUGGUCUCUACAGGAAUAGCAGGGGUUCGACUAUAUUUUCUUGAUGCAAAAAUGAAAUAAAUUUCUCAAAACAAACGGAGGAAGAUAACCAACAAAGAAUCCAUUUUUUCUUUGUUAAUUAACCACGCCUACACAAAUGCAGAGUGCAGUACAUUAUACACGACUUUGCAAGACUUCUUUUUGGAAUUUCAUGUUAGCUAAUUCUAUUAUUAGUCGAUCUGAUAUGAUCCCCUAACUACCUAUCUGCAAAUAUACAAAAAUUGUCAUUCUUUUUAGGCAACUAGCAAAUAUGCUCUUGUCGUAAAGUAUGUUUGAACAUCAUAUUUUAAGACUGUCCUCUUAUGAUUUAUUCUAUCAUUGUUGAUUUUAGUUUAAUACUAUACCAACCCAAGCAUUAUAAUCCGAACAGUACUGCCUUGUCUUUUGAUUUGUAAGCUUGUACAUUUGCCGUCCAAUAAACAUUAUAUAAGUGAUGUUUGGCGAGCUCUUAAACAACUUAUAAAUUGAUAUUUACAUAUAUUUUUUGGCUUAUAAGCUAUUUAUAAGCCCUGCACAUAGUCUUACAGUUAUAGCAGUUGCUGCAGCUAUGGAAGAUGCAGAGAGUGUUGUUGCAGUGAAGACGCCAGAGAACAAUGCGCAACAAAAGGUUGCGAAAUCGACAUGGAAUGAGUUUGCGGCAGAGGCUAAGCUGAUCAGUUUGAUUUUUUUGCCAAUGGUGCUUGUUACAACCUCGCAGUAUUUAUUAAGAUUUGCGUCCACUUUAAUGGUUGGCCAUGUCGGAAAGCUUUAUCUCUCUGGGGCUGUCCUGGCCAUGUCUUUCACAAAUGUCACCGGCUUCAGUUUUCUUGUAAGUUAAAUCUCGUAUUCGUCUAUUAAUGCCUUCGUGUCUGUAUUAUAUUGUGAGAAUAUUGAGGGUGAUGGAGAGUCGAACCUGGGACCUCCGUCAAAUUUGAGGUCUGAUACCAUAUUAAGUGACUCAUUCUCUCAAAACCUCGAGGUAUCAGGAAGAGGCUUACCAACAUCAUGUUAUAUUUUAACAAUUUAAUUUGUCGAAAUGCAGUUUGGAAUGGCGAGUGCAUUGGAAACAUUAUGUGGUCAAGCUUAUGGCGCAAAGCAGCACAAAAAGCUUUCGGUGUACACGUAUGGAGCCAUAAUAUCUCUGCUUUUACUCUGCAUACCAGUAGCUAUUCUAUGGAUAUUUAUGGAGAAAUUCCUGAUCCUAAUCCACCAAGACCCUCUAAUUUCACACGAAGCCGGAAAGUUUUCAAUCCGGCUCAUACCAGCAUUAUUCCCAUACGCAAUUCUUCAACCAUUGGUUCGAUACCUGCAGUCUCAGUAUUUGAUUCUUCCUCUGCUUGUGAGCUCACUAGCAACUCUGGCUUUUCAUGUCCCGGUUUGUUGGGCAUUUGUGUAUAAGUUUAACAUGGGAAGUGAUGGAGCAGCUCUGGCUAUGGGUCUAUCAUAUUGGUUCAAUGCAAUUUUUCUUGGCCUUUAUGCCAUGUAUUCACCCAAAUGUGCUGAUACUCGUGCUCCCUUCUCUAUGGAGGUUUUUGGUACGAUCAAGACUUUCUUGCGGCUUGGCAUCCCAUCUGCUCUCAUGAUUUGGUAAGUUGUAAAUUUGUAAUUCUAUACUUGCAGAGGUUCCAGAAUUUUUUAUUUCCAUUUCAAUGCCAUGCUUCCUAUAGUUUGCCAGAAAUGUCGAUUAGGUUAAUGCCCCGGUUGACCUUUAAAAAUCAAUUAGAGAAAUUAUCUUAUAAAUCAUGAUUUUUAGUUAAAAUCAGUACAAACUUGAUUUGAGACCCGGCUGAUCUACAAAAUUCAACGUUCUGUUAUCUUACCUUAGCCCCGACUGUUUCAAAAUCCUGGUUUCGUCACCGCUUGGUUUGGUCAAUUUUUUCAAUUCCUGUAACAGCGUGCUCUUUAUAGUUUUUAACAAAUGCUUCUCUGCAGUCUCGAAUGGUGGGCGUAUGAGGUAGUUAUAUUUUUUGCCGGGAUUAUGAAAAAUCCGCAACUGGAGACUUCAGUACUCUCAAUAAGGCAAUGCUUCUUUCUCUGAUAUUGCUCAUGUUCUUGAUAAGGCAAUAUUAAUAUACAAUCCUUAAGAGAAAAAUUACUUCUGCUAAUCAAAUCUUAUUCGUAAAUCAUAACAGUAUUACGGUUGCUGUCCUGCAUUAUUUUGCUCCGUUCGCUCUCGGUGUUGCUGCAAGGUCUGUGGAAAACUCUGUUCUUAUGUCAAAACAACUGUGUGUUUUAAUGUUUGUUGUACUCAAUUCCGUGUACUUAAUAAACAGAACAUCUUCAACAUUUGUAGCAUUCGUGUUUCAAAUGAACUAGGGGCUGGAAAUCCAAAGGCUGUCCGGAUGACUGUCUGGGUAGUUAUGGUUCUUGGAGUUAUUGAGGUGAGCAUUUCCGCGGCAGUACUUUUCUCCCUUCGCCAUGUUCUAGGACGUGCAUUUGUGAGUGAUAACCAAAUUGUGGACUAUGUUCGGAGAAUGACUCCGUUUAUAUGUCUCACCAUGGCCUUGGACAGCAUUCAAGGAAUACUUUCAGGUAAUAAACUUAAUAAUUUUAUUUCGUUUCUAACUUUGUCAGUACAUUAAAAAAAAUUAUUGCAUCUUCCUUUUAACCAUGAUUUAUGUAUCCGUAGGAGUUGCAAGAGGAACCGGGUGGCAGAAACUUGGCGCUUAUGUGAAUCUCGGAUCAUAUUAUCUAGUCGGUAUUCCAGUGGCUCUACUAUUAGGUUUUCUGGUGCAUUUGAAGGCCAAGGGUCUUUGGAUCGGUUUAGUUUCAGGAGCUCUGGUGCAAAGUAUUCUGCUUGCCAUUAUAACAAGUUUUACGGAUUGGAAAAAAGAGGUUAUGUUUUUUACUUGACUGCCAAAAUCUUAUUGUUAGAAUCUAAUAUGAUCCGGAUAAGCCCUCCUAACAGCUUGAGGUUUUGGGAGAAUUGGUCACUUUACAUGUAUCAGAGCUCAGGCUCGCGGAAAAUGGUAGUCUGUGAAAAGUGAAACAUGUAAGACGGAGCAUAUCAGCUGAUGAACGUAUCGUUUUUAUUGCAGGUAGAGGACACUAGAGUUCGGGUGCAAGAAGUGAAAGUCCCAGAUGAGAAGUGAGAAAAAGUUUUGAUAUCAGAUUCACUGCAAGUGUAGAAGACCCGGAACGAUGAAAUUGUCUGUCGUCUUCAUUAUUACAUGUACAUGUAUUUCAUAACAAAUUGCAAGAGUGAAUCAAAAGGGUGUUAAAGUUUAUACAAGGAUGUUUAAAUGCUUUGAUAAACAGCAGAUCCUGUGCUUUUUUCUGCGUUUUACUGAAAAUUUACGUGUAAAGAAUCUUACAAUAGAACUGAAUAUCUGGCUACAUUUAUAUUGAAAAAUCACAAGAAUAAGCGAAUACAUUAAUUUUGAAAUAGAACAAUCUACUGCAGUUACUAAGUACAGGUAGGUACUAUUUGACGUUAUGCUCAAGUGUCUACUUUUUUCAUGAAUUCAAACUCUGAAGACGGCCAUUUUGAAGAAAAAUCAAAGUAAGACAGAUCAUUUAUACACUUUCAGCAGUCGGCUAAUCACAUAAUGGAGCAAUUAGAGCAAACAGGCUUCUUCACCUUAUCUUCGGCCGGGACAACACUGAUUAAAUCUGCACCCCCCACAUUCUUUCUCAACAAAUUAGUGAGUUCGACGGUAUCUAUUUCAUUUCCGACCACCUCUAGCAUAUCCGUGCUAUCGCCUUUUAUUGCUACUGAUUCUACCCCUGCAAACAUACAUAACAUUAAAAAACCUGAGUAGAGAGACUGUUUUCGAGAAACCACACGAGCAUCGGAAAGACAUAGAGGUCUUACCUGGGAUACUAGCUGCAGUCUUUAUGGCUUUGGCCUUGGACUUCUUGGGAUCAGACAUGUCCACUCUGAUCACCACCUUUUGCUGCACAAAAAAUAAAAAAUUAAAUUUUGUUACAAGGUAACAAAAUACAUAAAGAACUAUACAAAAUCAUUUGUACUAGCUAAAUUAUAGUACCUUCAUUGUGUUGGUGUAUUAUCGUUUGGAAGAAAAAUUUUGUAAGAGAAUAGGAAGGUAGGAUCUAAAGAGAGUAUGAACAUGCAACAAAUUUAUAGAAGAAAUGAUUGAAGCCUUGAAGCGUUCAAACCUUAAUCUUAAUUAACCUUGAUCGUCAUAAUUACGUCAAGAAAGAUGAUCACUUUUUUAAUAAUAAAUAAUUAUAAAGUAAUAACAUUGUCCGGAAAGUCUUGAAUACUAUUUUUUAUGUCUUUUUAAUAUUUUUUAUUUUUCUGGAAUGCAAAUUCUAUAUUGUUUAUUAGUAAGAUAAUAUAAAUUAUAUAUAUUUUUAAUCAAUUAUUGCUGUUCUUGCUACUACAUCAACGGUUCUUGUAAUAUAUUAAUUAUAGAAGUACGCUAGUUUAAUCAUCUCUUCGUAAAUUGAUAAAAUUGCACAUUAAAUAUAAUAUAUAUAUAUAUAUACACUAUAUAUAGUACUCCCUCUGUCCUUCAGAUGUCCCUCUCAUUUCUUUACGUUACUAUAAAUAGUAAAUUUUUCCCAUCAUUACACCCACUAUCUUCCUCUACCAUCUCAUAUUUAACAAUAAAAAUUACUAUUACACCCACUACUUUCAUCCAUUAUCUCAAAUCUAUUAUUAAGGGCCUGUUUGGUUUACGGAAGCAGAAGCUUCUUCUGGUUUCUGCUUCUUUUGACCCGUUUGUGUAAAGAAGUAGAAGCACUUUUAAGAAGCUGAAAAUGCUAGCUUCUCUAUCACAGCUUCUGCUUCUUUUCCAAACACUUUAUUAACUUAUUUACUUCUCACUUCUACUCCACUUCUUUACUAUAAGCAAGAAGUCACUUCUUUUAAGCUAAGCCAAACGGCCCCUAUAUAUUGAUAAGUCCCACCACUUUACCCACUUUUCAUCUAACUUUACUCAUUUUUUAUACAUUAUCUUAGUCUCCGUGUCCCCCUUCAAUGUAAACCAUUGAGAGGGAGGGAGGGAGUAUAUAAUUUGUGGGGAGAAAUGUUUGGAUAGACACUCAUCAAAGUAUUUUAUAAUAUAUUCAAUGUCAGGAACUUAACUGUUGAUAAAUAGCAGGAUGAGUCACUAGUGUAGUAGUGUUCCUUAUUAAUAAUAGUAUAAUACUGACGAGUGACUCACAACUAGGAAGAGGACAGGUGGGAGUUGGGUGAAACUAAACUCCUGGUUGGGUCUCAUAUAUUAAUUUUAUAAAUUGGAACAUAAAAUGAGUUUAGACAGCUGUUGAAAUAUUAUCGAAAAAGUCUCAACAUAAGGGUUAGUUGAUUGCAAGUUGGUUGGUUGAACAUGUUUAUCACUUACGUGUAGGUGAAGAUUUUAGAUUUCCGUUUAUUCCUCGAAAAUACUUUUCGUCGAUACAUUUUUUUAGUAGUUAAAGAAAAACUAAUUAUAUCUAGCACUUAUAUGGGUUUGUUUGGGACGUGCAUAAUAAAAUAUUUUCUAGGGAAGAGUUUUUGUUUUUAUUUUUGAAAUGACGACUUUACCUUCCACGAAACAUUUAUUUUGAGGGGACAUAUAUAUUUCACUGAUAUCAGUGAAAUUUUUUAACAUUUUGGUUAAUUUUAUAUAUAUUUUAAAUUAAUAAUGUUAUAAUACAAAUGGAAUAGAGUCGAUUUUAAAAUCAUAUGUAGUUGAUAAUGAUACCGUGUUAAAAAUGAUUUAUAUGCUGAACACAUUUCAACGAACAAAACAUAAUAAAAAAAAUUAUUCCAUCCAAUUGUUUUUGUGGAUUUUUGAAAAAAAAUCGAAACCCAAAUUAGGUGAACUCUCUAUAUUUAUUUAUAACCUUACAAGUUAUUAAGAAAAUAAUUAAAAAUAUUAUGAAACAUAUUUUAUAAGCAGUAUUAAAAUGCGCGAACGUAACAUGAUAAUAAUAUAAGAAUACAUGGGAAAAAAAAGUUAACACAUGGCUGCAAAAUUAACAGUUUACGAGUCUGUAGCAGUAUGUUUUAUGUAACGGUAGGAGUUGCAAGAGGAAAGGGUGACAGGGUCUUGGGGCUUAUGUGAAUCUCGGGUCAUAUCUAUUUAGUUGGAAUUCUAGUAGCUCUAGGUUCGAUGUUUCUGGUGCAUUGAGGCCCAAGGGUUCAUAGGAUUGGUUUAGUAACUGGAUCUCUGGUGCCAGGUGUUCUGCUUGCAACUAUAACGAGUUCAACAGACUGGAAAAAAGAGCUUAUAUUAUAAUUCGACAUGUUUUAACAUAUUAUUUUAAAGAACAUGAUGGAAGUGCCUUUGAAUAUACAAUGCUAUGAAUUAUUAGGAGAGUGAAGGGUUUGUAAAGUGUUUGGCAGAAUGUGAGUCACAUAUACACAUUAAAACGAGCAGUUUCAGCUGACGAAUAUGUUGUUUCUGCUGCAGGUAGAAGCUAGGGAAAGGGUGCUUGAAAUGAAAGUUUCGGCUUAAUAACCGGCAAGUUAACAAACCUUCAGGCAAGUUUCUGCUAAUAAAUAUUGAAUUUAAUGUUAUAGAAAACACAAAUAGAGAUUAUUGUUGGAGUUGUCAUUCAAUGUAGAGUCCAGUUGUCAUUCAAUGUAGAGUCUCCGGCUAUUUAGAAAUUGAAUUGUUUAUAAUAUUUAGGGAACCUCUCGCUAGGACACGGGGCAAUGUAAUUGAAAUGAAAGUUUCGGCUCAGAAAUGAGUUUUGCCAUGAUUCAACCUUCAUAACAAACUUUCAGAAUGACCAUAUAUUGGAUGAUAUUAUAAUGUUUGUCAUAUUCACUACUGCAUGUAUAUCAUAACAAGAAGUUAUCUAUAGUUUCGUUUUUGUUAGAUAUAUCUAUAAGCUUGUUUUUAUUGCAAGAGUGAAUCAGAAAAGUGUUUGAGCACUCAGAUGAAUGGUCCUAUGCAAAAGAUUUACAAUGUGUUCUUGAAUAUAUAAAAAAAAUGUGAAAAAUCAUAAAGCAUGUCUAAUUUGGUAUAAAAAGUAUAUGAUUGAAUUUGCGUAUAAAAAGAAAAUGUCUGAGUGCUCGAAAAGCAUAAAAGCAUCUCUGACUGCUCUGAGAUGAAGAGAGGGUCCUCUGCAACCUGUAUAUUAGUGAAAAAUCUACACGUAAAGAUAUGUGUAGGGUUUUGAAAACAAAAACUAGUUUGCUAUAGCAAAGCGGAAGCCAUGGCAGACGAAGAGGGUGGUGUAGCAGUUAAGACACCAGAAAACAAAGCGAAACAAAUGGUUGCAAAAUCAACAUGGAACGAGUUUGUAGCAGAGGCCAAAAAUAUCAGUUUAAUUUUCUUUCCUAUGCUGCUUGUUUCAACCAUGCAAUAUUUGUUAAGAUUUCUGUCCACUUUAAUGAUUGGCCAUGUUGGGAAACUUUCUCUCUCGAGUGCUGUCGUUUCCAUGUCUUUUACUAAUGUUACAGGCUUCAGUCUUCUGGUAAGUUAGCUACAAAAAGACCUAAGGGAUUUAGCCUAAGUUCUGUUUACAAUGACGUGGCAUAUAAAUGGUUGAUUUUAAUUGGGUGGUUUAUGUGCAAACAUGGGGUCUCAUUAUUAUUAAUGCGAGUAGAAUUAGUCAUACAUCGCCAACUAGAUUUGAGAAGAAAAAAUUGGGAACACUUUUUGGAGUACCUAGCAUUUUCCAUUUACUUUCGGUUCUUGUUUCUUAAGUUGCAUGUCAUAACUAAUUGGAAAUUGAUUCUGUUAAAAACAGUAUGGAAUGUCCGGUGCACUGGAAACAUCAUGUGGUCAAGCCUAUGGAGCAAAGCAGCACAAAAAGCUUUCCAUCUAUACUUAUGGGGCCAUUAUAUCGCUACUUAUACUUUGCAUACCAGUAACUAUUUUAUGGAUCUUCGUGGAAGAACUUCUGAUCAUUAUCCACCAAGACCCUCAAAUUUCACACGAAGCCGGAAGGUUUGCAAUCUGCUCAAUACCAGCAUUGUUCUCCUAUGCUAUCCUUCAACCGUUGGUUCGCUACUUGCAGUCUCAGUAUUUGCUUCUUCCUUUGCUUGCAAGUUCACUUUCAACUCUGGCUUUUCAUGUCCCCGUUUGUUGGGCAUUUGUAUUUAAGUUUCGUAUGGGAAGUGAUGGAGCAGCACUAGCUAUUGGUUUAUCAUAUUGCUUCAAUGCCAUCUUUCUUGGCCUUUACGCCAUGUUUUCACCAAAAUGUGCUGAUACUCGUGCUCCAUUCUCUAUGGAGGUUUUUAGUACAAUCAAGGACUUUUUCAAAAUUGGUAUCCCAUCUGCUCUCAUGGUCUGGUAAGUAUGAUUUUAAGCUACCAUUUCUCCUAAAACCGGUUUUAGGAGGCGUUUUUCUUAAAAAAAUUAUCAUUAGCUUCUCACUAUUACCUCAGAAUUAUCUGCUCUAAUACUUUUCACCGAAAUGUUUCCUUGCAGUCUUGAAUGGUGGGCAUGCGAGAUAAUCAUAUUUCUGGCUGGGGUCAUGAAAAAUCCCCAAGUGGAGACUUCAGUGCUGUCUAUUAUGUAAUGCUUCUGUGUUUCAAGAUAUUGUUGAAAUGAUAGUCUAAUUAUUUUGAUAUUAAUCGAGAAGCUCACUUCUGCUAUCUGUUAUAACAGUAUUACAGUCGUGCUCCUGCAUAAUUUUGCCCCAUACUCUCUUUCAGUUGCGGCAAGGUGUGUGAAAUUUUGUUCACAAAUUAUGCAACCAACUGUAUUCAGUUAUAUUAAUUGUACUUAAUGUUUCUUCUACGUUUGUAGUGUUCGGGUUUCAAGUGAAUUAGGGGCUGGAAAUGCAAAGGCAGUUCGGAGGACUGUCUGGGUAGUUAUGGUUCUUGGUGUUACAGAGAUGAGCAUUUCAGCUUUAGUAGUUUUCAGCCUGCGUAAUAUUUUGGGACGUGCAUUUGUGAGCGAUAACCAAAUAGCGGCCUAUGUGAGGAGAAUGACUCCAUAUAUAUGUCUCACAAUGAUCUUUGACAGCAUUCAUCGGAUACUUUCUGGUAAUCAACUUAGUAAUAUGUUUUUCAUUUUUUUCAGAAUGUGUAGUCCUCUUCGCUUUUUUAACCAUGUUCUAUGAAUUCGUAGGAGUUGCCAGAGGAACCGGGUGGCAGGGCCUUGGGGCUUGCGUGACUCUCGGGGCAUAUUAUCUAGUCGGAAUUCCAGUGGCUCUACUGUUGGGGUUUCUGGUGCAUUUGAGGGCCAAGGGUCUUUGGAUUGGUUUAUUAACAGGAGGUCUGGUGCAGAGUCUUCAGCUUGCUAUUAUUACAAGUUUAUCAGAAUGGCAAAAAGAGGUUCCGUUUUCUAAACUGGCUUCCUCGCGUAUUAUCUUAACAUUUCAUUUCAAAAGUAUUAGGAAAAUUAAGGGUUGAAUAUAGUUCUGCAAAAUGUGAAACAUAUACAAAUUGAAAAUGAGCAUUUCUGUUUCAGGUAGAAAACACGAGGGCAAGGGUGCUUGACUCGAAGUGAGAAAAGGUUUCGCCAUUAGGCUCCCUGCACAACUGCAGCCGGAGGUGAAGACCAGUUACAUGAGUACCUCAGGAUAUGUACCUUGGAUUCUCCUGUGUGUUUCGAUGUUUCUGUAGUUCAAGCUUAAAAAGCAACACUGAAUAAUCUUCAGAAAAGCAUUAAACUAAAGAAUAGAAAUACUUGAAUUACUAUCGGAAAACUGAGCAUCUGGCUACAUAAAACUGGAAAAAAUCACAGUAAUAGUUUAUAAUUACAGAAACAGAUUUACAUAUAUGUGCAGCUAAGCUAAGCAACCAAUAGAAAAAUUCACUGCCGUUAUUAGUGUUGUACAGGUAUGUAAUACUUGGCGUGAUACUCAGGUGUCUACUUUUUUUACGUCUUCAAAUCCUGAAGAUGAGACCGAUCAUCGAUACACUUUCAGCAGUCAGCUGAUCACAUAAUCGAGCAACUGGGGUCACUGUAGGAAUCUCUGACCUCAUAAACAGGUUGAUAACUCGGAACCUGUCCAGCAUAAUAGUAAUUAUAAGGGUAACUAUUCUGACCAUAAACUUGAAAAUAAGGCUUCUUCUCAUCUUUCUUUUCAUCUUUAGCCGGACCAACACUCACUAAAUCUGCACUCCCCACAUUCUUUCGCAACAAUUUAGCAAGCUGGACCGUAUCAAUUUCAUUUCCGACCACCUCUAGCUUAUCCUUGUUAUCUCCCUUUAUUGCUACUGAUUCUACCCCUGCAUACAUACAUAACAUCAAUCAAUGAAUCAUGAGAAACAUAUGCAAACCGAGUCACGGACAGAACCAAGAAAGGCUAACCAAGAUUAAAACCCUGACUAAGUCUAAAAUUUGAGUAUAAAUUAUUUUUUUAAUCCCACGUUUAGUUAAAAUCUUAUUCAGCAACUCGACAAGCAGAGAGACUGUUUUCGUGAAAUCGUGUUGGUUUCGAAAGAAAUAGAGUUCUUACCGGGAAAAGUAGCUGCAAUCUUCAUGGCCUUGGCCUUGGACUUCUUGGGAUCAGACAUGUCCACUCUGAUCACCACCUUUUGCUGCAAAAAAAUUGUGCAAAAAUGAAUUUAGCUAUGCAAGGUAGUAAAUAUACAAGGAACUAAUAAAAAACAUUUUUGCUAGCUGAAUUGUAGUACCUUCAUUUUGUGCCCGGUAUCUUUGGAGGAAAUUGUAAGAGAAGCAGAGGGUAAGAUUGAGUAUGAACAUGCAACAAUUUAUAUAGGGGAUCGAGGAUAUGAUUGGAAGCCUUAAAAACAUUAGUCGUCAUGAUAUGACGUCAAGAGGACAAUUGUAUGAGCUAAUAAUAUUUUUAUAUAUUAUUUUUCAAAUUUUAUUUUUUGAAUAAAAGUUUAAGAUCAAUAUUUUUAUUGAGAAAUAAAAAUUGAAAAACGAUAUUUAGAAUUAUGUUUUUCACCUCAAACUAUGUGUAAAAUAUCAAAAUGAUUAUUAUCUUGAAAUUGGAGGAGUAUUCAAAUUACAAUAUACAAGGUGCCGGACAAGAAAAGUCAUCAGGAAAUCGAUACGAUAAAAAAAAUUUCUAAAUAUAAAUUUAAUAUACGUUUGAAUAAAAUAUAUGUAACCAAAUUUUAAUUUUUAGACAAAUUACUUUUAUUAUUAUUUUAAUUUAAUUUUUUUUUUGCCGGAUUUAAUUUUGGUCUCUAUAUUGUAUAGCUAAAUAAAAAUCUAGCAGUCUUUGGACAGCAAUGUCGGUCCAAAGAAAAGGAUUAGCGCAAUCUUGGUAAUCAGAUCUCAUAAUAUUGUUAGACAUACAAACAGAAGAAUAACAAAAUCAUUACGCACAGUGCAGCUGGACAAACAUUUGGAUCUCCGACCGAGUAUAGUACGGAGUAUUCUAUUGCAGUGUUUAUAUAUUCAGCAGGCUUAUACUCUCUGUCCCGCUCAUUUUUUUAAAUCAAAAUUUUAUUUAGAAAAAGAAAAUUCAAAAUAAUUGAUCAAACUACGUUUUAUAUGUUUUAUAAGAGUAUUCGAAUGCGUGUCGAGUCCCCGUCUCCCAAUGUAAACAAAUGAGAGUAUUAGAUGCGUGUCGAAUCCCCGUCUCCCAAUGCAAACAAAUGAGGGGGAUUGAGGGAGUAUAUUCUUGUAUUCAUGUAUUUUUGAAAGUGUAAAUUUAUUUGAUAUUUUUAUUUUUGAAUUACUUAUUACAAAUUUAAGGAGUCUGUGAACAUGUAUGAGGACAGAUAUUUUUUUUCUUAUUUUGUUUGGACGGGAAAUCGAAGAUGGAUCUUUCCUCUCAAAUAUUGAAAUUUAAAUGUUCCACAAUGAUUAUAUGAUAAUUUUGUUAAGGAAACUCCUUUUUCCAACUAUUCUAAUUCGAUAUAAUUGAUUUAAAUGUCUCGUAUCUUUAUAAAAAUCUUCAAUAUGCGGUAAUUAAGGCCCCGCGUCGCGUGAAUCAAUUAAAAUAACAUGUUAAUUACAAUAAUGUAUUUUAAGCUGCAGGCGGUCAUUUUAUUUCACAUACAAAUAUACAAUUAACAUAUUUAUGUGGAAAAAAUGUAUCCAUACGCAACCCAUCAAUAUUUUAUGGUAUGCAAAUCCCUCUGUUCAUGUAUGGUCAAUGCAUAUCUUCAAAGUCAAUGGAGCUAGAUGUUGAUUUUUACAAAAUAAAAUUAUUUAUUUUUUAAUAUAGGAUGAUUCCCAGUGUUUUACAUUUUUUUCAUAUUAAUGUAUACUGCUUGUGCAUUACAGAUCACUAGUAAAGUGACCAGUUGAUUUUAAGAAUUAGUAGUUUCGCAACUGGGAAGAGAAUAGGUGAGAUGAGAGAGUAUGAGACUACAGUUUUGCUUGGGCUCGAAGUAUUAACUAGAAGUUUAUAAUUUAAUAUAAGUAUCGACAGCUAUUAAAAUAUUAUUGAAGACUUGACGGAAAAAAAUGGAGGGACUGAUUCUUGAUUUCAAAGGUAUGAGUGUGAUAUACUCCCUCCGUCCCCUAGUUGGUUUAAAUUAGGAGACGGACUCACACACAACAUUUUAAUGUUUUCAUAACAUGUAAUUUGAUAAAUUAUAUUGAAUUUUUUUUCUAAAUAGAUUUUUACUAUUUAAAUUUUUAUAAAAAAAAGUUCAAAAGGAAUUAUAAAAAUAUGUUUUACAUGUGCUUUAAAAUACAUGUCGAGCAACGUAAAAGAAAUACAAAGAAAUGAGGGAGACAGUGGAGGAUUAAACAGGUAUACAAAGACGAGCGUGGCAGGUAUUUUUUGUUAUUGUCGAACAUCAAAGUUCGACUUUCGCUCGUUCCAGAAAAGUUUUGAAAUUAUGAAAAAAAAAUAUUAAAAUGAUAUAUGAUUACAAUAAACAAAUGAAAAAGAGAAUAUUCGAAACCAAAUCAUAUAAAUAAAAGGUUGAGUAAUUAAUUUAUUUAAUGUUUUCUUUUUUUUCAUAAUCUUAUUUAAUGUUUUUUUAGUUGCAAAUGAAUAUUUAAGUAAGCAACAGAAUAAUCUACUAGCAUUUUUAAAUUUGUUGAUAUAAAUAAAUUUUAUGCAGGAAAAUAUGGUUUUCAGAAAGAAAAUUGAAGAAGAAAAGAAAAGGGCACGUUUUAUUUUGGCGAAAAGGAGAAGCCAACUUUGGCAAGAAAGGUUAUAGUUGCUUGAUUCCUCGACUUAAAGUCCGGUCCGUCUACUUCAUUGGUAGAUAUUUCUAGAAUCAUGUCAUAAAGCAUGUCUUCUUUACCCGUCACACGAAUUGUAUAAGUAUGUUUUCGAAUUUCAUUGCUCUGGACCAAAAGGGAAAAGAAUAAGGAGUUUUAAUUUAUUAUUGAUUAUUGAUUUUAAAUUAAAAUUUAUUUAUAUAAUAAAUUAGAAGAUGGUUUAGAUUACAAAUAUAAAUCACAAUUUUAAAUUCAGUAAAACGAAUUUGAAACUUCAUUUUAUAUGUGAUCAUUACUUUUUAAAAAGAAACUUCAAAUUUUAAUUAGCCACCUAUAAAUUAUGCAAGAAUACUAGGGCCUCCAUAAAUUUCUACAUAUCUUAUGAUUAACAAUCUCAUAUAAAUAAUGACCUGAUCAAAUCGAUAAUUAACCGAAGCAUCGAGAUGAUAUAACAAAAAAAUCACGUCUACGGAAUUUUUCUGUCAAAAUGUGAUAAAACAUAUUUAUCUACUCAUACAAUAAUUCCGAAAAAUGAAAAUGAAAGACAUUUUGGUCACAGGAUCGGUUCAGCUAGUUAAAAAAGAGACACAAGUUCUAUUCCGGAAAAAGCAGAAUUUAUGAUGCGGCUUCUAUGUUAAAAAAAAAAACACCUAAAUAAUUGAAAAAUGGCUUAGCUGGCUUGUUGUAAAUGACUUGGAUUUAAUGUCCACAUAAUUUGGCAAAUAUCACUUUACAUACUGCCGUCCUUUUGAAAAUCUGUCAUUUGCUCACCAAAACCCACUUAACUUGUGACAACUAGACACUCUUUUAUUUUAAUUUGCUAGAACUCAAAAGUAUUUUAUUGUUGUACUAGGAGUAAUUUAAUAAUUUAUCAUUGCUUUGAAUUCUUCAACCAAGAAAAUUCUACUAGUCUGUUAUAAUAUGUACGUAUGUAUUUAUUUAUUUAUCAGAUUUUGAUCAUGAUCUUCUACCUACAUAAUUAUUUAUUUGAGGAUCACCUACUAUAGACAAAGUUGUUUUCGUAAAUUUUUUGAAGAAUAAAGUUAAAUUAAAUUUGAAAUUUUAUUUUGAACAUGAAAAUUAAAAAAAUGGACCUUUCCUUUUCAUACACUUAGAUCAGCUUACAUCACUAAAAUGUACUUAAAAUGGGAUUGGAUACCAGAUAUAUCGAAAAAAUUAUUAUAUAGCGUGUGUUUGGCAACCCCGACUUAUGGCUUAUUUAUAAAAAAAGAGAGUUUCAGUUUUUUUCAGAGUAUUUGGGUAACUUAUAGAAGCAUUUAAAAUGGUGCUUAGAGCAAGUCCAAGAGAUGCCCUAUAUCAUGUCCUAAGUUAUAAUUUAGGACAAUUGAUCAAAAAAUUUGAUCCAACAAUGUCCUAGUGAUGCCUUAUAUCACUAGGACAACCUCUCAAGCCCUAUUUUUGGGGCCCUAUUCAAUAUUUUAUUAUAAAUUCUCAUCACACUCUCUUUCUCUCUCUACUUUUAUAUUAUGCUUAAAUGAUGAAAGAAAGUCUUUAAUAAUAAAAUAUUAAACAUAAUGCGAGAAUAAGGCACAUUGUUGGAGUUCAAGUUAGUAAAGUAUGUCCUAAAUUACUAGGACAUAAUAUUUUAUAUUAUAUUUGAGGCAUAAACUAGGACACUCUUGGACUUGCUCUUAAGAAGCCAAGAAAAAAAACUAGAGAUGAUUUGGAGCUUCUUUGUGACUUAUAAAUCAUGGGUAUCCAAACACUUAUAAAUAAUUCACUUCUUUACUUUAAGUAAUAAGACAUUUCUUUUAAGCGCAGCCAAAUGGCCCCAUUAUCAAAAGCGAUCUGCGUAAAAAAUCAAGCUAAUUGAAAGAGCACAUGUAGUAUUAAACUGAAAUUUUGGGCCGACAAAAUAUAAGAUCUUCCAAUCCAGUGGAUAAAAAAAUAUCCAGGCCCAAAUUCGUUUGAAAAAAUGAUGGGCAACUAUAGAUGGGCCCGACCAACCUUAAAAGGGGGGCUGCGAACAAUACAUGUCCCAUGGGCCAUUCUAUAAGCUUGUGUAAACAGUUUAUUGGAUUUCAAAUACCUCUUGUACUUUAGAAUGGAUUGAUCAUCUCUGAUUAUUCCAAAAAAUAACGCAUCGAGAAUACUAGAGUGAAAUUUUUUAACGAAAGAGAUGAUAUGACAUUAAUUCGAAAACUCUAGUUAUUUUUAGAACAUACAUUUGAGAAUUAUCUUUCGGAAAAAAUUCACAUCUAUAUACAAAUUUUUCAAAGAGACCAUAUUAUUAUAAUAUUAUUAAAAAAAUCGCAUGAGCAUGAACAUUAGAAUCACUGAUCAGCUGUUUUUCAAGUUAACCACCAGUACUUGUGAAAUUUCAUUGAUGCUUCUGCCAACUUGUUUAAACCAAGCUCUGUCCCGGGUCCCUUAACUAUGACAGUUAGUUGCCUGUCCUAAUCUCCCUCACAUAUACACAUAUUAUUUUGUUUAAUUAAUCAUUUAUUAUUAACACUAACCAAUUUUUGAAUAAAAAAUUCGCGUGAUGCACACUGUGAGAAAUAUAUUUGAAAAAGAAUCUAUAUAUAUUUUCUGCAUGAAACGGUUGACUAUAUUAUCAUCACAUUUUUUCAAUUAUGAAAAAAUUAUAUAUUAUAUUACUUGAUUAAUCAUAUAUAUACCCCUGAUUUCAUGCAAAAUGAAGUUGACGUAAGUUAAGAGGAAAGAUCGGGAUUAUGACAUGUACUUACAUCUAAUUACUUCUCAUUAUUACAGUUAAUACAUCAAUAUCAUGUACUCCCUUCAACAUAAAAUAUACACCCAACAAAAAUAUUUGAUGAAAAAAUGUGAUAUUUAUAGCACAAGUGACCGGUUUAUUAUCAUUUCUGACUAAAGUAAAUUUGUUACUUUCUUCCCUGUCUUAUCUAAAAAAUCGGGCGUUUUAGUCAAAUUAUUAAUAUUGUAUUUACUUUUUAAAAUAUUUCAGGAGAAAAUUAUGCAUAUUGUAAUUCAUCAUGGAAAAUAUUAAAUCCAGAGCACGUUUUAGUUCCAAAACAUAUUUAAUUCUCAACCCCUUUAUCUACACAAAUCACACACUUUCAAUAUAAAUUCUAACAAAUUGCUCUGGAUAUUGAAAGAUUGCUCUCGAUAUAACAUUUCCUUUCAUCAUUCAUACAAUUUAUGAUACACGAUAUAUAACGGGAUUGACCUUCGGUUCGUAGAUCUUAAAAGGAAAGAUGUAUAUUAGUUAGGGUCUUUCUAAUGUGUGCCCAAGGGCAUACAAUAAACACUAACUUUGAUGAGUUUGGUGGGUUUUUAUUGGUGGACUUGGUGCAAAUGCAGGGGGGGCCAUCCAUAUUUAUAAUUGGAAGACCAAUAAAAAUGCAUCAUACUCAUAAAAGUUAGCGCUUAGUGUGUGCCAAUGGGCACAACACAGAAAAACCGUAUUAGUUAUAAGUUAUAUCAACGAAAACAAGUGGAGAUUGCUUAGCGCACGAUAAUUUGUAUGGAUGAAGUUGACCUCCAUAAUAUAUUUCAUAUAAAUAUUAGCCAGAGUCUUACGAGCCGUUAUCACCGUCACUGUAUUGAUGAUAAACAGCUGCGCAGCUCUGUCAAAAAAAACACGCACGAACUCUCGAUUUUUUAUUAAUAUUAUAGCAUAUACUAAUUUGAGCGGAAUUAUUAUUAACAAACAGUGUUCUAAAAAUCCCCGAUUUAACCGAUUAAUCCCCUACAAGGUCGGUCAUCGAUCCGAUUAAUCCUUAUAUAUAUAUUUAUUAAUAAUUGAAGUAUAUAUGAUAAAUUAUUAGAAUUAAAAUACUAUAUUACUUUAAAUAUGAGUAAUUAUAAAAUUUAUGAAUAUAGUAAAUAUAUUAGUUACUAAAUAGCUAAUAUAAUAAUAACUAAAUAUUAAAUAAUAUUUUAAUAUUAAAAUAAAUCCGAUUUUCACACCGAUUAGUCCUUCCGAUUAAUCCCCGAUUUCCGAUUAAUCCCUGAAUCGGUAGCUCAACCGAUUAGGUCUGAUUCCCGAUUUCUGUAACACUGUUAAUAGAACAAAAUCCAAUAAUUGGAUAAUUAGGACUGAUCAUUAGUGAAAACAAUAAUCAUCCCGAAACAAGAAGAAACAUUCCCAGCAGUUUACAGAAAAUUGCAAGUAUAUAUCACUGUCUAUGAACAGACCUUCAAGAGUUUGAAGACCUAACAGAAUUAAUUGCGAUUAUUUUUUAACUUCUUUUUCGCCAUUCUCGCAGAAAUUUAAUCAAAAAUCACACCAUUAUUGACUAAAUUAUCGAUUUUCGGUUUUCAGAUCGGGUAUCAGACGGGAUUCACAUGAUGGAGCAAGAAGGGUCGCGGCAAUACGGCUCGUAACUAUAGCAUGGAGCAGGACCGUAAUUGUACGGAGGGUAAUAGUAAUAUAUGGGCACGAAAUCGUUUUUGUCGUCUUUCUUGUCAUCCUUCUUCUCGUCCUUCUUGUCGUCUUUCUUCUCUUCGGGUUUGAAUGGACCGACGCUGACUAAAUCUGCACGGCCGACGUGUUUUCUCAGACACUUGGCGAGCUCCACCGUGUCGAUUCCUUCUCCGAUCAGCUCUAUCUGGUCCUUGUCAUCACCCUUCAAUGCUACUGAUUCAACCCCUGUUUAACAAAUUUCAAAAUAUAACUAAUAAAUUACAUAUGUCCAGCGAGAAGAACAAGAAAUUGGUAUAUGUCUUUGUAAGCGCUUCUCCUAAUAUUUUGGUAUUUUAGGAGAGUUGAUCAUUUAAAAUUUUGAAAGAAUCAUUCACUUGACAUGAUAGAACUCAAAUAUAUUAAAAAAUUUCUGAGUUCAAUUUCCUGUCAUUUUCAAUAUUCUCAUAUUUGAUUAUGAAGAUCGAACAAGAAAUUACCAUCAGUAGUAGCUGCAAUCUUCAUGGCCUUGACGCGAGAUUUCUGAGGGCAACACAUGGUCACUUUGAUAACCACCUUUUGCUGCAACAAAAUAUCGAAAAAAUUAUAAGAAUCGAAGAAUUAACACGCACACAUAUGCAUUAGAGACGGUAAUACUGUAGUUACACAUGCAGGAGGUCGAGAAUUUGAAUCUUGUAAAAUACGAAAUGCGGAUCUGUUUAAUUAUCGGGAAUAAUAAACAAUAACCGAUGAUAGACAUACCUUAGCCAUGGUGUUAGUGGGUGGUGAAUGGUGAGUAGCGUGUUGCUAAAUUUGGAGGGAGAGAGCAGUUUCGUAUUGGUUGAAAAUGAGACUGGCGAUAUGCAUUUAUAUAUACACGCAAACACAGUGUAUUCAAUUAGGAUUUUAAUGAUUUGUUUUUAGUCUAUGAAUUUUAAUGGAUUGUGUGUUAUUUUGAUUUUGUGCAGAUUCUUGAUAAAAUAUCGCAGAGUUUUUUUGUUUUUGUUUUUUUUGAAAAAAAAUGUCGCAGAGUUGAUAGGAUUUAAGCAUAAUGAUUCAAAAUCCCAUUGGUUUUGAUGGGAUUUCAAAAAACUUAAAAUACACUAAAAAAUGCCAAAAAAUCCAUCAUUUUAUGAAAUCCAAAAAAAUCCAUUAGCAUUUGAAUAACUCAUGAUUUUAAUGGAUUUUAAACAAUCCCAAUUGAAUACCAUCGGAUUUUAAAGUAUAAUUUAAAAUCCCAAUUGAAUAUCACCAGAUUUUGUAGCAUAAUUUAAAAUCUCAAUCGAAAACCUCUAGAUUUUAACGGAUUUCAAACAAUCCCAAUCGAAUACUUUAGAAUUUCAUAAAUGCCAAAAAAAUCUUUAAAAUCCCAAUUUAAUACACCCCUCAUAGCAAAAUAAUACUAGUUGAGUCGUCACAAGUCUACGUCAGGGGUGACUCUUUACUAGUAGCCAGAUGCUUAAACUAAUAAUCACAAUCAUGAUUAACAUUAGCGACUAACAAUGCAUUAGCAACGCGUUCGGAUUAAUAAUUAAUUUCGACGUGCAUGCAUAGUCAGUCAGAGACUCAGAGUAAGUCGCGUCAGUCAGUCGCAAUGUGUGGAGGCAAUUUUGGAUCGAUGUACCACCGUGCUCUUAAAAAAAAAGUCCAGUUGUGUACCCAUCAGUAUAAUUCAGCUGCAAUCGCUGUUUAAAGAUAUCCGGUUGAUCCUUCAAAUAUAUUUUAUCAAUUCGACUAAAUAUAUUUGAUUAAUAAAAAAGAUAACUUUUUUGAAUUAAUAGAUAAAUUGAUUAGUUAAAAUUCGGGUUAAUUAUCAAGUUGGUCACUGAAGUGGGCUUAAUGUAUCAAGUUGGUCACUGAACUCAAAACGGUAUCAAGAUGGUCACUGAAGUGGCCAUAAAUAUCAAACAAGUACCUUGAAAUAUGAGUUCAAGCACUAAAAAUAUUAUUUAUAAAAUUUUACACAUUAUUUUUAAAUGUUAUCACAACCAACUAAAAGGUUAUGACUUCUAGUAUUUAAAAUAACAUAUUUAUAUUUUAUCAAGUUUAUUUAUUAUUUAUAUUUUAUUAUAUAGUUAUUUUUUGUUUUAAUUAAAAAUAAAUAUUAAAUAAACUUGAUAACAUUUAAAUUUUUUGUCAUAAAUAUUUGAAGUCAUGACCUUUUACUUGGUUUUGGUAACAUCCAAAAAUAAUGUGUAAAACUUUAUAAAUAAUAUAUUUACUACUUGAACUCAUAUUUCAAGUUACUUGUUUGAUAUUUACGGCCACUUCAGUGACCAUCUUGAUACCGUUUUGAGUUCAGUGACCAACUUGAUACAUUAAGCCCACUUCAGUGACCAACUUGAUAAUCAACCCGUUAAAAUUCUCAAAGUCAAAAAUUAAGGGUCAGAAUAAUUCAAAAAUCGAUGUGUUCUGAUUUUAGCAUAAUUGUUCUUCUAAUUAAUAAAAAUGUUUAAUUCCCGCCAUCCAGUAAAUUUUUCCUACUGACAAAAAUAAUAUAAUUAGACAGACAAUUCAAUGGUGCUCGAUUAAUAGAAGUGGGUGUUUGGCCACCUUUUUAAGCCGGACUUCUCGACUUAUAAGUUAGAGCACUUAUUUCGUACCGUUUGUGUAAAAAGUCAAGAAGCACUUAAUAAAAGUUAGGAAUGCUAGCUUCUGUUUCAGGGCUUCUACUUAUUUCUCAAACACUUUAAUCACUUAUAAGUCUUAUCUUGCUUUUAAAUUCUACUCCACUUAUUUAUUUUAAGUAAUAAACAUUUAUUUUUAAUUCACCCAAACAGUCCCGAAAUAAGUUAAUUGAGGCUACUGAAGGUUGCCGUGAUUGAUAAAUUUGGGGAGCUGAGUGCGACUGAUAUACGACCAAUUUAAUUAUGUCACCGUCUAUGAAAUCGAAAGGAAGGCAAUAAACCACCCACUUAGCUAGUACUUCAGCGCUGCUUAAUUGGACUAUCUCAUCUAUUUUACUCCGCCUGCAGUGGCGGAACCAGGACUAAAUGUUAAGGGGGGCUGAAAAAUAUUUCGUCAUCUAUACUUGCAUAAAUAACUUUCUCAAUAUAUAUCAUCAUACUAUCAUUUAUUCAUGCAUCUUCGAUCCUAUUACGCUGAUAAGUCUUGAUUGCUUUCAUAGCAAAAAAAUCUCUCUCAACAGUAGCAAUGACAACCGGUAAAACCAGAUCUAACUCAACCAGAAGAUAAACUAAGGGAUAAGCAGUGUGUUUGUGUGUUUUACCCAUCAUGACAGAAAGAUUUCCUAUAUUUUGAAGUCCAGAUUAAUCUCCGCUCUCAUAUCAUAGAUAAAAUUGUGUAACUGAUUUGGCAACAACUCCAAGUCUAGUAAAGAAAAAUCCUUUGGAUAAAAUUGUGCAAGGCAGACCAGUUUUGAGUUAUUGAAAUCUGAAAAUUAAUUUUUAGGAUCUAAAGAGUCAAUACAAAGUAGUAGCUCUAUAUUUCCUAGCACCUCUUCAAGAACUUAAGAGCUCUAUUUGCUUACUCAGCAAUGAGGAGCACACUUUCCCUUUUAACUAUAUUUUAUAUUAUUUUUCUAAUGUACAAAGUACUCGGCAUGCAUCAUACAGUUUGCAUGAUCUAGUUGCUCUGAGUGUAUCUGUUUAGGAUCUAAAGAGUCAAUACAAAGUAGUAGCUCUAUAUUUCCUAGCACCUCUUCAAGAACUUAAGAGCUCUAUUUGCUUACUCAGCAAUGAGGAGCACACUUUCCCUUUUAACUAUAUUUUAUAUUAUUUUUCUAAUGUACAAAGUACUCGGCAUGCAUCAUACAGGUUGCAUGAUCUAGUUGCUCUGAGUGUCUCUGUUUGAAUGUAUUUGUUAAUUAGACUCUCUUUAGACUAAGUGUCUUCUCUUUUCUUCUUUUAUAUUAAAUCCCUCUUUAUGACAUUUAUAAUUCAGCGGGGCUAAUAAAAUUAUAUUGACAUCACAAAUUCGGCGGGGGUGCUGAAAAGAAAAUAUACACUGUAUUUUUGAGGUUAGGGGGGUUCUAGCAUCCCCUAGCCCCUCUGGUUCCGCCACUGUCCGCCUGUGUGAAUUAUUUUUGAGAAUUAAAGCGUUGAAACUCUCGUUUUCACCUAGCUGUGCACACGUAUCUUUUUCUGAUUUGAGAGCAAUUUGUGUAUUAUUUCUAUGUUGCCCCAGAAAAAAUAAUUAGAGACAACAUCAGGAUAAAAACAGGAGUAAACGACGGUAAGGAAUUAAGGGUUUCAUCCACGAGCUUCCAGAUUUUGCAAUCGGCUCUCGCUGAAUUCAAGAUUAUUAUCAAAAUAAUAUUAAUUUUAAAUAUCACAAAUUUCCUGUUUUGAAGCUGGGAAAUAAGUCUGGAAAAUAAAUUGUUAGCACUGAUUUGUAUUACCGAGAUCUAGGCUAUUCAUCAUACACGAGGUCCAAAUAAGUCAUUUCAAAAUACAUUGAUAAAUAGUAGGUAAAUUCUUUAUACAUGUACACGAGAGGACUUAAUAUCAUUAUAUACUAAAUUAUUUCAAAAUAAAUCAAAAUGCUCAAAAUCAUCUAAAUUCAUUUUGAAAAGUUUGCGUGUUGAUUUUACUAACGACAAUUAUAGGCUGUCUCUCAUUUAUAGUUUCUGUACGCGGUACCGGAUUUUAAAACGUUACUUUUCCGAGUAAUUCCUCGUGUCGCUUUGACAGCGACAUCAUUUUUGUGUCACUUUGAUUUUUCCUAUGGCUGGUCAAGUCUACUUUGGCAAGUAAACGGAGAGUGCUUUGUUUGUUAAGCGCAUGAAUGGUGCUAAUAAAAACGGUUUUUCUGUGGUGUGCCUAUGAGCACACACUAAACGCUAAUUUUUAUGAGUAUGAUGAUAUUUAUUGAUCCUCUAAUCAUAAAUAUGGAUAGCCCUUCUGCAUUUGCAUCAAGUCCAUCAAUAAAAACCCACCAAACUUAUCAAAAUUAAAAUUAGUGUUUAUUGUGUGCCGUUAGGCCUACAUUACGAAGACCCAAUCAAGAAAUACUCGUAAUAUUCUUGGGCUAUGUUAGAAAAUUAAACAUCGAUUGAGACUCUAGUAUCACCUGUAGGCAACUUAGGGAAAAAAAAAACAAGAAGCGACAGUUUUGUAUACAUUUAGCAGGUGAAAGUGUGAAACACUUAAUUCAAUUUACGACAUCACAUCCACAACUUCCACUUUUUCAUAAUUCCGAAUAAAUUAAACGAUAUAACAUGAAGACCCAUAUAUUUUCUAUAAUGUAUUUACAAUAUUUUCGCUGCCUAGAGCAUCUCCAAAAGAGAUAUCUAUAACUGUUAGCUAAGAGUGUAAAUAUAGAUGAUUAUGUAAAAAUUUGUUAAACCUGGAAGCUUUUUGCUCCAAUGGUGUUAGACAUAUGGUUAGCUAUAUUUUAAAAUUCGGUUAUUUUGUUAUUUUCAGAUUCUAAUAAUUAUAUUUUAAAAUAAUAAUUAAUUAUUGUGAAUAAGUUUCAUAAAUAACUUUCUUAUAAAUAAAUUCAAUUAAAUAAUUAUUUCAUAUUAUUAUAAUUAUUUCUUAUAAUUAUUUCUUAUAAUUAUUGUCUAAAUUUAAUCAAAUCAAGUUUUUUAUACAAGGAUAUAUGUUAUUUUUAUUAGUUAAAAUAAAAUUUCAAGAGCAAGAUAAUAGUUUUGUAAAAUCAUAUGUGACUAUAUAUCCAGCUCAUGUGUAUAUCACAUUUUAUUUUUAUAUUUAAAUAACAUAUAAAUUAUUUUCACAUAAAAAAAUAUAUUUUUCAUAUAACUCAAAACGCUGUAAAUUUCACAAACAAAAAUGAGAGAUUAUUUUUAACACAAAUAUUAUAUACACAUAUUUGUAUUUAUAAAGUUUUGUUUAUUAAAAUAUGUCCUCUUUUAUAAUUUAAUUUAAAAUUUACAAAAUUAAUAAUUAAAUUUAACUUUAUUAUCAUCAAAAGAAAUUGGACAAAACUAAAUUUAAAUUAAAUUAAAUUCUAUAAUAUAAAAUUAUAAUACUAAUAUAUGUAAUAUAAUUAUUAAAUAUAAAUGAAUGACAAAAGUAUAGAAGUAGGGUACAUUUUAAAGGAAAAUGACGUGGAAAUAAUAUAGAUGAUGGAUUUUCAAUCAACAAAUAUAACGUGCGUAUUUUACGUUAUCUAAAAUUAUUGCUAAGAGGUUACUGCGUUGGAGUAGGCUGUUUUACAACUGUUAUGUAUAUUUUUAAACCCUAGCAUGAUAGCUUAGACAUUAUAUCUAACAAAUGCAUCUUAUAUAGGCGGGUUGGGAAAGUCCGAANGAGGCUACUGAAGGUUGCCGUGAUUGAUAAAUUUGGGGAGCUGAGUGCGACUGAUAUACGACCAAUUUAAUUAUGUCACCGUCUAUGAAAUCGAAAGGAAGGCAAUAAACCACCCACUUAGCUAGUACUUCAGCGCUGCUUAAUUGGACUAUCUCAUCUAUUUUACUCCGCCUGCAGUGGCGGAACCAGGACUAAAUGUUAAGGGGGGCUGAAAAAUAUUUCGUCAUCUAUACUUGCAUAAAUAACUUUCUCAAUAUAUAUCAUCAUACUAUCAUUUAUUCAUGCAUCUUCGAUCCUAUUACGCUGAUAAGUCUUGAUUGCUUUCAUAGCAAAAAAAUCUCUCUCAACAGUAGCAAUGACAACCGGUAAAACCAGAUCUAACUCAACCAGAAGAUAAACUAAGGGAUAAGCAGUGUGUUUGUGUGUUUUACCCAUCAUGACAGAAAGAUUUCCUAUAUUUUGAAGUCCAGAUUAAUCUCCGCUCUCAUAUCAUAGAUAAAAUUGUGUAACUGAUUUGGCAACAACUCCAAGUCUAGUAAAGAAAAAUCCUUUGGAUAAAAUUGUGCAAGGCAGACCAGUUUUGAGUUAUUGAAAUCUGAAAAUUAAUUUUUAGGAUCUAAAGAGUCAAUACAAAGUAGUAGCUCUAUAUUUCCUAGCACCUCUUCAAGAACUUAAGAGCUCUAUUUGCUUACUCAGCAAUGAGGAGCACACUUUCCCUUUUAACUAUAUUUUAUAUUAUUUUUCUAAUGUACAAAGUACUCGGCAUGCAUCAUACAGUUUGCAUGAUCUAGUUGCUCUGAGUGUAUCUGUUUGAAUGUAUUUGUUAAUUAGACUCUCUUUAGACUAAGUGUCUUCUCUUUUCUUCUUUUAUAUUAAAUCCCUCUUUAUGACAUUUAUAAUUCAGCGGGGCUAAUAAAAUUAUAUUGACAUCACAAAUUCGGCGGGGGUGCUGAAAAGAAAAUAUACACUGUAUUUUUGAGGUUAGGGGGGUUCUAGCAUCCCCUAGCCCCUCUGGUUCCGCCACUGUCCGCCUGUGUGAAUUAUUUUUGAGAAUUAAAGCGUUGAAACUCUCGUUUUCACCUAGCUGUGCACACGUAUCUUUUUCUGAUUUGAGAGCAAUUUGUGUAUUAUUUCUAUGUUGCCCCAGAAAAAAUAAUUAGAGACAACAUCAGGAUAAAAACAGGAGUAAACGACGGUAAGGAAUUAAGGGUUUCAUCCACGAGCUUCCAGAUUUUGCAAUCGGCUCUCGCUGAAUUCAAGAUUAUUAUCAAAAUAAUAUUAAUUUUAAAUAUCACAAAUUUCCUGUUUUGAAGCUGGGAAAUAAGUCUGGAAAAUAAAUUGUUAGCACUGAUUUGUAUUACCGAGAUCUAGGCUAUUCAUCAUACACGAGGUCCAAAUAAGUCAUUUCAAAAUACAUUGAUAAAUAGUAGGUAAAUUCUUUAUACAUGUACACGAGAGGACUUAAUAUCAUUAUAUACUAAAUUAUUUCAAAAUAAAUCAAAAUGCUCAAAAUCAUCUAAAUUCAUUUUGAAAAGUUUGCGUGUUGAUUUUACUAACGACAAUUAUAGGCUGUCUCUCAUUUAUAGUUUCUGUACGCGGUACCGGAUUUUAAAACGUUACUUUUCCGAGUAAUUCCUCGUGUCGCUUUGACAGCGACAUCAUUUUUGUGUCACUUUGAUUUUUCCUAUGGCUGGUCAAGUCUACUUUGGCAAGUAAACGGAGAGUGCUUUGUUUGUUAAGCGCAUGAAUGGUGCUAAUAAAAACGGUUUUUCUGUGGUGUGCCUAUGAGCACACACUAAACGCUAAUUUUUAUGAGUAUGAUGAUAUUUAUUGAUCCUCUAAUCAUAAAUAUGGAUAGCCCUUCUGCAUUUGCAUCAAGUCCAUCAAUAAAAACCCACCAAACUUAUCAAAAUUAAAAUUAGUGUUUAUUGUGUGCCGUUAGGCCUACAUUACGAAGACCCAAUCAAGAAAUACUCGUAAUAUUCUUGGGCUAUGUUAGAAAAUUAAACAUCGAUUGAGACUCUAGUAUCACCUGUAGGCAACUUAGGGAAAAAAAAAACAAGAAGCGACAGUUUUGUAUACAUUUAGCAGGUGAAAGUGUGAAACACUUAAUUCAAUUUACGACAUCACAUCCACAACUUCCACUUUUUCAUAAUUCCGAAUAAAUUAAACGAUAUAACAUGAAGACCCAUAUAUUUUCUAUAAUGUAUUUACAAUAUUUUCGCUGCCUAGAGCAUCUCCAAAAGAGAUAUCUAUAACUGUUAGCUAAGAGUGUAAAUAUAGAUGAUUAUGUAAAAAUUUGUUAAACCUGGAAGCUUUUUGCUCCAAUGGUGUUAGACAUAUGGUUAGCUAUAUUUUAAAAUUCGGUUAUUUUGUUAUUUUCAGAUUCUAAUAAUUAUAUUUUAAAAUAAUAAUUAAUUAUUGUGAAUAAGUUUCAUAAAUAACUUUCUAAUAAAUUCAAUUAAAUAAUUAUUUCAUAUUAUUAUAAUUAUUUCUUAUAAUUAUUUCUUAUAAUUAUUGUCUAAAUUUAAUCAAAUCAAGUUUUUUAUACAAGGAUAUAUGUUAUUUUUAUUAGUUAAAAUAAAAUUUCAAGAGCAAGAUAAUAGUUUUGUAAAAUCAUAUGUGACUAUAUAUCCAGCUCAUGUGUAUAUCACAUUUUAUUUUUAUAUUUAAAUAACAUAUAAAUUAUUUUCACAUAAAAAAAUAUAUCUUUCAUAUAACUCAAAACGCUGUAAAUUUCACAAACAAAAAUGAGAGAUUAUUUUUAACACAAAUAUUAUAUACACAUAUUUGUAUUUAUAAAGUUUUGUUUAUUAAAAUAUGUCCUCUUUUAUAAUUUAAUUUAAAAUUUACAAAAUUAAUAAUUAAAUUUAACUUUAUUAUCAUCAAAAGAAAUUGGACAAAACUAAAUUUAAAUUAAAUUAAAUUCUAUAAUAUAAAAUUAUAAUACUAAUAUAUGUAAUAUAAUUAUUAAAUAUAAAUGAAUGACAAAAGUAUAGAAGUAGGGUACAUUUUAAAGGAAAAUGACGUGGAAAUAAUAUAGAUGAUGGAUUUUCAAUCAACAAAUAUAACGUGCGUAUUUUACGUUAUCUAAAAUUAUUGCUAAGAGGUUACUGCGUUGGAGUAGGCUGUUUUACAACUGUUAUGUAUAUUUUUAAACCCUAGCAUGAUAGCUUAGACAUUAUAUCUAACAAAUGCAUCUUAUAUAGGCGGGUUGGGAAAGUCCGAAACAUAAACAUGCAAUAAUAUUUACGUUACAUUUAUAUUUUACAAAUGGGUAUAUGGUUUCAAAACUUUUUACAUUUAUAUCUCAUAGUAUUGGAUAUUUGGUUUCGAAACUUAUACCCGCAAUAAGUAUGCAACACUGUUAAAGCUGUUAACGUUUUUUAAUCGAAUCAGAUUAAAAUGAGCCGUGAGAACUUUUUCAUAGUUGAGUUAAAUCUGCUAAUGUUUAAUAAUAAUCGAGUCGGAUCUAAAUUAAUAUGCCUAGUUGCUUUUGCAAGUACAGUAAGUGAGAUUCUCCGGGCAGUUAGUUGAACCUAACAAAAUGGUCCAGACAAAACUAUAAUCGACUCAGGUUCACUGACAAACAAUACAGACAAAUUUCCGAGAGUCCGAAUCAGUAUCAUCGGCCUGCUGGCUGCUGUACCCAUUUACUAAUAGAAUAAUCAUUUCUUAAAGCAAAACAAGUCUUUAUUUCAAUUAUCUAUCUAUGUAUACAUAUAUUGUUAAUAGAUAGUACAUUUCAAAUAGAUUUACGAAUCGAAUCGAAUAAGUGAUCACUGUCUAUUGACAAGGAUUUGGAAAAUCAAAUUAUAUAAAUAAAUGAAUAAUAAAUAAAUACUCUAAUUUCUACGUUCCACCACCCAGCGUUACAGUCAGUUGUGUAAAAGUCGUAUUCACAUAGCAGGAGUAGCUGGGGCAAUACUAUUAAUUAAAAAUCGGUGUUUGAUUUUUAUAGUACUCCAAUAAAGUGAACUUCACAAUUCAUUCUCCACGUAUGUUCCCUUUUGUCUUCCAUUGUCAAGUAGCCAAGUACAUUUAUUAUUGCUAUUUUUUAUUUUUACUUUCAGUAACCGGUUGUUGUUUAGAAUGAAUUAGGCCCAUCAACUAACUGGUUUGACUAAUUGACUUACAGGCCCAUCACUGGACUACUGAACUGGUUUGUCUAAUCGGCUUAGACGUAACAGGACCAUUAACUUGGCAACAGAAAAUACAGGGCCCUGCUGGGACUAAAUUUAAAGAAAUAACAGUAUAUGAGUUCAUAUUUAAAAGUUAUUGAUGUUGUAAGAAUGUUAGAAUAUAUUGAUCCUGGUAAAAAAUAUUUGCACAGCACCUUUAAGGUUGCGUUCCCUUGGAUGGAAUGGAAUGAGUAGGGAAUAGAAUGAGAUAUUAUAAAGAGAUACAGAAAGGAGAAGAUAUGAGAAAAUAGUAACUAAAUAUGACUGCUCUAAAUUUUCUAAGACGAAGAUUGUAGAGAAACAUGAUAUAGAAGUGGAUCGAGCAUUCCUUCCGAAACAAACAUGAUAUAGAAGUGGAUCGAGCAUUCCUUCCGAAACAUGUGGGUUUGAUUUUCUAGUGCAAGUAGUUUGGAAUGGAAUGAUUGGAGAAAUGAAAAUUAUAGAUAUUUUCUUUAAUCACCCCCAAUUUAGAGUACAGAUUUCAUUCCAUUUCCCCCCAAUUCCAUCACAUCCAAGUGUAAACAACCCAAGUCUUGGGAAUACUGGUCACUUGCAUGAUACUCCCUCCGUCUCUAAAUGUUUUCACGUUUGCCAACACACACUUUUGAUCGUUAAUAUCUUUCAUUUCGUAGUAGCAUUAAAUAUAAAAACUUCACCGUAUCAAAGUACUCGUGAAUACGAAUCUAAUAAGAUCACUCAUGACUAUAUUUAUUUUUAUAGAUUAGAUGUAAAUUAGUAAUUUGUCUCAUGUUAUGAACAGUACCGACAUCACAAACAGGAAAAUAAAAAAGAAACGGAGGGAGUAUCAAAGAUCAUGGACCGCUGUCCAAGGCUAGUUGCAAAUACAACCAAUUCCAAAUCUAACUACAUUUUUUCCAACUUUUCAACAUUUUAUUUGAAGUAGGUCAACUUUGACUUGCAUUACAACAUAAGUUAGUUUAAUAAAGUGGAAAAAAUGGCUAUAGCUCUCUCUAAUUCUAGAUAUACAACCAAAUAUCCAUUCAUGCAUUUACCCAACCAAGAAUGGCUAUGCAUUGGAUUUUUUAUUUUUAUUUUUUUGUGAAAUUGGUUCUUAAUCAUAGCUAUAAAACUAAAUAUAGAUAAACACCGAACUUCACUGCAACUUACACUAAUUUCAUCCCCCAAGUCAAUCAAUAUAUUGUCCCUCUCCCGUAUACCUGUUUGCCGGUUGUUGGCUGGUUUACAAGUGUUUCCCUUUCGAAGUCUAACUCAGCUUAAGGGGUAACAAUUCAAGAGUGAACUCUCUUUCUAUUGGGAAAGCACUUCCGUUUAAAUAGCAUGGUGACUCAUUCAGUUAGCAGAUAUUGUAAAUUAAUUAAAAACAAAAAUAAUAACCAAAGUAAUACUAAUGGGUCAUUCACCCACCUCAGCCAUAAAUUACACAAUAAAUUGGUAUCCUAGUAUGAAAGCAAUCAGCAUCCUCAAAAGCCAUGUGAACUGUAAGUUUAAAAGGGCUAUCUAGAGGGUUAUUAUUACCUUCCAAAACAUCUUAGUAUUGAGGAGGUUAGAGUAGAAGACAGAAAUUUCAAGCCAGCAGAACCUCCCGGGAAGUAGGAAAGAGCAUAAUACGAAAGUGCAAGAACCUGAUGACAUGAAAACAAUACUGUAAGGUACACAAAUUAAUACUAGGAGUGAUCUUAACUUUAAAUAUUUUGGAAGCGCACAAGUUAACAUUUUGCAGUACCAACUAGUGUAAGGCUAAUUUCAGUGUGCAUGGUUCAAAGGGAUUCUGAAUGAUAAAGGAGAGUUAAUAUCGAAAAAUGAAAUGAAGAAAUAUUUACAGGGACUUGCCAACUAGUUCAAUAGAUAAAGCAUGUGUAUGGCUACCAAUAGUCAUCCAUAAUGUGCUUCAAUUUACUAUUGUAUUGUUACACUAUUGUCAGCCUACCCUUAAUUGACUUCUAUAUAUCAUUGUGCAAGCAGUAGAACCUCUAUCACAUGGAUUGGAUUUUGGAUUUCGGGUCGGGUUUCGGUUCAAAAUGUCUAAUAUCCAUAUCCAAAUCCAAACUCCUUCAGUCCUUCAGGUUUAAAAAAUGAAUCCAAACCAAAAUAUCAGAUUCAGUAAUCGGAUAUUCAUCGGAUCGGAUUUUUCUGCUCCCUAGAUGGUCGCAAACUUAUCUAUCACUGAAGUAGUGAUAGGAGAAGUCCUAUGGAUGAGAAAUAUUUUUUCAUUUUAGGAAUCAUAAAAAUGGAGGCACUUAAAUGAUGUGAGAACAAAUAAUAAAUUAACAUCACUUGGUUUUCCGCAUGGCAAUUUGAACGACCACUCACCAAUCUCUUGAAACGAAUAGCACAAAAAGGUAUAUGGUUAAGUGUAUCACAAUAUCACUUAAUUUGCCAAUCUCGCACAUAAUAUAUUGUGUCCACUAGACUUGCUUAUUUGCCAGAUAAAGUAGGAUUACACAUGUCACAUCAGCACAUGUAAUCAGCAGUAAAUUCAAAUUAAAUAUAUACGAAGCGACUAAUGAAUUCAAAACAACUGAAUGGCUAUGUACCUGUAAAACAGAGAACAGCGCUGAAAGAACGUAGCUGUGCAGCACCAUCGAGACAUAAAUUGUGCCUACCAUACUGCCAAUAAAUCCCAAAGUAAACGGUAGUCUCUGCACAGAAAAUAAAUUUAAAAAAAAAACAUGAGGGAAACAGCUAUUGAAUAUUGAUACAAAAAAAUAUGCAUAUAUUUUGUGUUUUAAAAACCUAUUCAGAUAAAUUAACACUAACCAAACCAUGUAAAUAACUGAUUAUAUAGACAUAGCCGAGAUACCUCUUUAGACGACAUGUGGGCGAGCUGAUUUCUAGGUCCUUUUAGCGCAAAGAAUGAACCAAUGAUGAAGGCACAUCCAAUAGUGAAACAGAUAGCAAAUUUCUGAGGCAUCAACAUCAUAACAGGGAGAAACAUGGUGAACGCGAUGAAGAUAAAAAAUACCCCUGAAGCAAGGAGUAAACCGAAGUACAAGAGAGAUUUUCCUGAAGGAACGUUAGAUUGGAAGCUUCCGGGUAUAUCCCGCACACCUUUCGAAACCCUGAAAUGAGAAUGUAAAUGAUUAAGAAUAAAAAUAUUAUAUAUUUCUGCAAUUUCACGAGGUGAUCUACAAGUAUCGGCAGUUUACAAUGACAAAGUUGAAACGGUAACCAGGAUCUUCCUCGUCAAAGUUUCUCAACGAAACAGGAGGGAAAUCAGUUUCACAUGUAGUUACAGGGAUUGCCUUUAUUAAUUCACACUUUAGGCAACAAAUGUGAUUCUUGCAAUAAUAAUACCAAGGCAGACCUAUAAUAAAAUGUUUUCCAGCUACUCACGUAUAACACAUUGUUUAAAAUGUUUCAAAAGUUUAUAAUAGCACUACAUGAAACAAUUCAACAUAAAUAUUCAAAAUUUCAGUAAUAAAACACUUACUGACUCAUACAAUGUGUAUACAUAUCUAUGAUGCUUGCUUAAUCAUACGUCGAGUAAUCAUAUCAGUCAUACAUACAAUUAUUGCAAUAAAUCAUCGAACAAUGCACAAAUGUCACCAAAUAUUCAAUUACAAGCAAAGCUGCAAACACAUAAAGUCACUGAAUUACACACAAACAACUCGAAUCAAUGCUCGCCAAUUGAAUCACAUCACCGCUAAAUAGUCAAAGAGAUGCACCGCACUACACAAACCACUGUAACGUAACUGUAUGACAACUGACAGCUAAAACACAUCGCACCUAAACAAUCAAACAGAUGCAAGCCGAGAUACACACACAACACUCUCGGAAUCUAUAAAAAAAAACACUAUCGAAAACGAUGAAUGGAGCAAUAAAUUCACAAACUCGCCCACUCACACUAUUCAAAUCACAAUCAAACAGAUGCAUUGGACUAUAACAUAAGGCGCGAAUACAUACAAUAACUGAAUUACACAUACACAGUGUUGAAAUGCAUACGAACAGAAUCGAAUUGGAAGCGAAAAGACGUACACGUUGAAAGUACCGGAGACUUUGUCGUUGGCGGUUCUGACGGCGGCCUCGAGAUCGAAACCUAGGGCGGAAGGAUCGUCUUCUUCGGGAGCUCGUGUAGAGGCGGCGUAGGCGUUCCAAUCAGCGAGUAGAGAUGGCGUUUGGUUCGGGAGAUCAUCGCCGCUCGCGCUUGGGCCACUGAACCAGGCCUGCGCUGUUUUGUGCAUCGUUUUGUUUGUUUAGGGCCUCUUUGUAUUCGAAUUGUUGGAAAUUUAUCAGCAAUUUAGCAGCAGCAGCUUCGGGUUUUUUUUGAUUUGUUGGGGAUUGGAGAUGAUGAGGACAGGGAGGGAGAUCUGGUGGUUUGCUCUGCCAGGGAGGGUAAAUUGGGGAGUUUAGAUUAGCGGGAUGGGAGUCGCAGCGUCGUGUUUGGUUUAGUUAUAUUUUUUUAUUUUUGGUUUUUGGAUUGGAUUUACCAUUUUAAACCUAAACGGGAUAUUUUAAAAAUAACAAUUAAAACUUAGUUUCAAAAAAAAAACAAUUAAAACUAUUAUGCUUGACUAUAUUAAAUUAUAUAUAAAAAACAGAAAAAUAGCCUAAAAUAAUGAGGAAAAUAUUGUUUACUAUGUUUGUAUAGUCCCUCCGUUCUUAAAUAUCUUUUUUCUGAUUUUUUUGACACGCAUGUUAAAGUGCUUUAAUCAUAUAGUUAAAAAUAUUAUAUUUAAUUUCAUCUCGAAUAAAAAUAUUGUAAGGACCAAUACUAACCCUAUUUAAAACAAAAGAGUACAUCUCAUGAUUCCAGAAAACCCUGGUUCGGUAAACUAAUCUCUGGUGGAGCACGUAUAGCUCAAGCGGUGAGUUCGACUCUGACUCAUCCGAAAAAUAUUAGAACAGAUACUAAUUUGUAACGUAUAUAAGCUUGCAUUGUAAAAAAAAAAAAUCUCUUGCAAGGUGUCUCUCAAUUUAAUUGUAAAAUCUAAUUAAUUACUGUAAAUUUUUUUAAAAUAAUACGUUAAAUACUUAAGCUAAUAUAUUAAAUAUUUAUUAUAUAUUAUAUAAUAUCUUUUUUUAACAACUAGCAAAGAAAGAUUUAAUUUUUAACUUAAUUUAUUAUCAAUCAUCCGACUAAUCCAUAAUUAGCACUUGUACCAAUUAAUUUUGAUUUCCGAUUUUUACGAUCACAAUCUAUAUUAAUAUUGUAUAUAUAUAAAUUCAAUUAUAUAUAUAUAACAUGACAUAGAUUAUACUCCUUCCGUCUCAAUUUAUAGGUUCAUUUUGGAAUAAACACGCAUAUUAAGAAAAAAGUUAGUUAGAUAGAAUCUUAUCUCAUGCAUCAUUAGUUAGUGCAUUGAAAAGUGAGAAUAUAGUUGAGUUUCAAAAAAAUCACAAUAAAUAUAGGGAUUUAGUGCAUUGAGAAAUGAGAAUAAUGUUGAGUUUCAAAAAAGUCACAAUUAAUAUGUAGAUAAAUUUGUAUUGAAAGAAGAGAAUUACAAGUAUUUUGGGACAAAUUUUUUUUGCAAAGUCGACUUAUGAAUUGAGGACGGAGGGAGUAAUACUAUUAUAGUAUAACCUGAUAUUGGAAAACAGAAAACUGGAAAUCCAAACGGGCCCCUAAAUUUUUCUCGAAUUCUUUCGCAAGUUACACAGUUGCAUACACUGCAAAGUGAAGUCGCCGGAGAAAAACAAGAGCAAAUGAAGACAGCUGAAAAAGUUAUACUCCUGUUCGAAGACUCGGAUGGCUUCGCCGCCUCUAUUUCCGACGGUCUCCAACCUAACCCUACCUCUUCUCUCCAAACACUGUAAGUCUCUCUCUCUCUCUCGAGAUCUCUCUCCCUCUCAUAAUAGUUUUUAACGUUGAUAAAUUAUUUGUGCAACAGAAAGGAGUGUGUGGAUCUAUCAUUAGAGCAGUACGGAAUCAAAGAGAAAAUCUCUGUCAAUAUUACUCAUUUUGUUGAUUCAAAUGGCGUUUAUCAGGUACUUCUUAGCAUUAUAAUUUGUUCCGUUAACAAAAAUUUUAAUUAGAGUUAUUUAGUUAUUGUAAUGACUACUGUGAUAUAAUGUAAUUGUUGUGAUAUAAUGUAAUUGUAUUGUUAUAAGGAUAGUUGUUAAUGGCCAGAGCAUGAGCAUUUGUGUGAGAGGGAGAGUCUGCGAUGGAGAUCGCACUUUUAUGAAUCUACUUUUAGGUCAAACAUCUCAGGGAGUAAAUUUAGUAGCAGAUGGGUUGGUGUAUAUAUAUGCUACAGCAUUAGGCAGUAUUUUGAAUUGUUGGAAGAGUGAUGCAACUUCAGAGUUUUGUUUACACAUAAUUGCUCUUGCCAAGGGAAACCGAAACUGUUGAAAGAGAGAGCAUGGAUUUGGCGAUUGUGUGGUGGAUGAUAUCAAGCCACUGCAAUAAAAACUUAAUCCGCUAGUUAUAUGUUUUUUUCAACUCUUCAAGGCUUGCAAUUUUAUAUCUGAAACUUUCAAAUGUUAUUAAAGUUUGUUUUGCUUAAUAAUUAUCUAGUACAUGCCUCUUCUCAUUUCUUUUUAGUUUACUAAUUUACUGUGUUCUUAAUUUUGUAGGACAGGAAAUUGUAGAAAGGACUAUUUAUCACCUAAAUUCCUCUGAAUUCGUAUUUAUUUUGUAGUAGUUUAAUUUGAGACCUUUGAAGUUCACUCACAUGAUAGAUACUAUUCAAAUUUCCGAAUCCGAUUACUUUAGCACAAGUACGUAAUACUUUAAUAACGCGAUCCUCAUGUCAGGUGUCCAUAUUGCUUGUGCAAAAAUGUGAACCUCCAGUUCUUGCAUGUGCUGUCAAUGAAGCUAUAGCCUCGGUAGAUGGUGAAAGUCCGUCAAGCAUGCCUACUCUUAUUAUCCCUUUCCUAUUGCCAGAGUCAAAGCUGAAGCUGGAUGAUAAAAUUUUGUUAAAAAAUGUUAAUGCUGCUCUCCAUGGUAUACACACUGGUCCGGAUACAGAUACUAUUAAAGCCUUGGUCAAUAGAACUCAGAAGCUACCAUCAUCCUUGCAAAUUAAUCAUGAGGCCUUGGCAUGCUCAUUUCAGCUGGCUCGUGUAAUGAAUUUACCUACCUUCCUUCUUGUUGGACCAAGUGAUAAAAGCAAAUCCCAUAAAAGCUAUGAAGAAGAUUUGAAGGUAACGAAUUCAUUAAUAUUUUUUAACCUCGCUUUCAAUGAGCGUAUAUAUGUUGGAUAGAAAACAAUAUGAGCUCAUAUAAGGUUUAUGUUGAUUCAAGGUAAUCUGGACAAUCUCAUAUUGUUGUUUUUUAUCUUUUUGAGUAACUAGUGAUCUUUAUCCACCCCAUCUCCCACUAAGCCUUCAGCAUUGAAGUUGUAUAUUGUGUAGUAGUUGAUGUUAUAGUUGAGUUCUUUUUUACUUUGAUUUUCUACUUAAGAUUUUCUACUAAACUGACCUUCAGAAUAUGGUCUGUGUUUUUCAUUCGCUAACAUUUCUUGUUGUAAUUGCCACAAUACACCACAUACGCAUUACCCUGGUAAGGACAAAUUUGAAUAACCUACUGCAGCUAGCAUCUUUUGUUAACUUGUUUGGGGAGUCCUUGUGCAUAGAUAUUUUGUCUUUUCUAAUAAUAUUGCAGUGAAAGUCAUACUUACUUUCCCUAAUUAACAAAAAUACUUCAGUACACAUACUUUUGGACUAUGUUACCUGGGUAUAAGCACAAAAAUGGGUAACAUGGUUUUAAAUAGUCAUAAAAAAAUUUUGCAUCUUGUUUUUUUUUGAGUAGUGAAGAAAAGGCUUCCUUCUUCGUUCUAUAUUUUUUUGUUCUUAUAAUAGACAUACUUAGAUUAUGAGCAUAGAUUUUUUUUAAUGUAUAUUAUAAUUGAAAAAAAAAGAAAUUAGUAGACCGAACUUUGUUGUCAUUCUAUGAUUGAGUCAAUUAUACUAAUGUUUUGUCGCAGCUGGCCGAGCUGGUUGGCUUUAGUAACGCCAAGCAGGAAGUCAACAGCUGCGCACAUUGAGUACAAUGACAGAAAGCCAGCUCUUGACUGUUUAAGUUUUACAUGGCAAGAUUGAUACUGUUGUACAUCAUCACUUUCUUCUUCUUCUUUUUUUAAAGACAAAUGCUCUGUAUAAAUGAACAGGGUCCAAAAGUGAUAGAAGCCAAUACUAAGUUAUGCUAUAUAUAAGAUUUUAUAUUUUAGUAAAUGUGUAUGAUUGUAGGAGUGAAAUCUAAGUUACCAUACAAAUGUGUUACAUGUGUAGCAACCAGUGUCAAUAGAUGACAAGAUAGCUAGUAAUUUGCAGAGAUCAGAAAAUUAUUACAAAGAUUAGCUAAUUUAAUUAAUCAAACACAUACCGCCUAUGAAACCUUUACAGAAACGAAAAUCUAUAUUUGUGAUGCAUUUUUCGACUAUAUAUAGUGGAACUUUUGUUGUACUUGGGAAUAAGGAAACACUAACUUAUUACUAGAACAUAGCUACUUUAGUAACUAAUACAGUUUGCUCUGUUUUAUUGCACUUAUUCGUCUAAAUGUGUGACUAUGCGUUAAUAAAGCUUUGGGACUUGUUUCUGCAUAAUAUAUUCCUGCCUCGGCAUGUAAAUGGGUGUCCCAAACAAUGCUAUGGGAUUUAUUUAAUGAUGUCUGAUAGCCCUCUUUUACCAAUGACUCAUCUGCUGCAUAUGCAUUGCCUAUUUAUUAAAGUAUAAUAUUUGCCGAGUGUGGAUUCCUCCAGUUACUUGGAGAGCCUGUAGGCCCUGCCUGUAUCAAUGCAUUUUUAAGCACUCAUGUGGCAUAAAUUUCCUGUAAAUGUAUUUGUAUUCCAUUUUUUUCUGGUGUAUGUCUCAGUAUAUGCCAUUUGAUCUCUAUGGAAACUUUUCUAGGUACUUUGUGAGAUAGGAGAGGUUUUAGCAAGUUUAUCAUCCUUGUGCUUCGUGAAAGAGAAGAUAACUUGGACUCCGACUAAGACAUCAAGAGAGAGCAUGGAGCCCUGGCGUGCGUUGUAUAAUUAAGAUUAAGAUGUGUUUUUUAGCAUGAUAAGUAGAUUGCAAUAGUAACAAACAAUUGAUCUUGUUUCAACAAUAGUUAAGUCUGACUCUCCCAGCAGUUAUCUGCAGAAAACAGUAAUUAGAUCAGGGGCAGCCAUGCCUUCGGAUACAAUAUGAUUUCUCUUUUAUAUAUUUGCUUUAGCUAUCAUCUUUUUUUUUCCCGUCUGAAUUUUAUUUUGAUCUGACUUCAUUAGUUCAUUGUGAUUCUUGAAAUUUGUCGGAAUUAUGAGAAGGAAUGCUCUUAUAAUUUCCUAGAUCCCAUCCUGUGUAGUUGUGUAUUAUACAGUUUAGGAAAAUUUAUGAUCUUUACGGGGGUGUCUUGCAUAAUGUCGUGAAUGUCUUGGUGCUUACUCCUUGCCAGUACCGAUCUGCAGAUUGUUUACAUGUACCCCAUCUGUAGAUAUGCUGGAGACGUUUUAUUUUUUUCCCUUCAGCAUUGGUUGGCGGUUGCCAGAUCCCUCCUGAAUAUACUGCCAGGUUUAUCUUUUUAACCGCAAGCAAACUGGUGCAGUUAAUUUAUGUUUUUACAAUUGUAUAUUGUAAACUGAAUUUUUUUUUUUAAAAAAAGUUUAAGUACUUAUUUUCGGUUUGACUUGUCUUAUUUUCAGGAAUAAAUUUUAUUUUAACAAAAUAUAUAAAUAUUUUUUGAAAAUAAUAACUUGUUUUUGUAAAAUAAAAAUGCUAGAGAGCUCUAAAUUCUUAUCUUGUUUUAAAAUCAUAUACGUAUAUACUCCUUCUGUUUUUUUUAUGUGACGCUUUGUGAUGUGCUAGAAAUAGUACCUUUAAAUCGCAAGCGCACGAUCACCGUUUUAAUAUAAUUAGAUUCGUCCACAGAGAUUAAAAAUAUUUUCGCAAAUCUUUACUUAAAACCUAGGCGGAAUAGAACAAUUAAUUUGGAAUUUUGAGGAUAUAUUUUUUACAAAUUCAAGAAUUAAGAAGUAAAAUUAAUUUGAAAAACAUCUAGUAUGAAAUCCUUGGAAAAAGAAAACAAAGUGAAGUUUCAAAUUUCAUUUAUAAAUUAAGUAUACAAUGCAGCAUAAUUCGUUUUGAAAACAAAAUGCACCCAAAAGAAGUCAACGAAGAUUAUGACUAAAAGAAAACUAAUACUAGCAAAUAAAUCGGCUGUGCCUCCACUCAAACACCAAUAAUAAACAUACUUUCGUUUAUUAAACAACACCACGAUUAAUCAGUAAAAACACCACUUCAACAACUCACAGUAUUCAGCAAUCAUAUUAAAAUAGCUUGCUCUAAAACGGAACGAAACAGCAUGGCAAAUGUGACUCGAUGACUCAGUAACAAACAUGAACUCGGCCGUGACUCAGGACAGACCCAGUCGACUCAGUACUCGACGAAAUCGAACUCAAACCAACAAAACUACAAAACCCAGCAUAAUCAAACUUAACUCAGCAAAGAAAACAGAGCAUGGCGACACAGACCUGACUCAAAUGCAGCGGCCAGACUCGACAAAACUCGUAAACAGAGCAAGAUUCAGCAGUUUAAAACUCGGAACAAACUCGACUCAGAACAGACUAAACGCAACAACUCUGUAAAAACGACAAAACAGGACUCGGCGACUCAGUAAAUCGCAGCAAACAAAACCCAACAGAACAGAACUAACAACAAAAACGAAGCAAAAAGGACUAAACUCGGUAAAGGACAGCAACGAAAUCGGCCAAGUGACUCAGCACAAAGACCCAACUCGGAUUCAUCGACAACAGGGGAACUCGUACACGACCCAUCAAAAGAAAGAAAAACGCAGCAAAGAUGGGGAGUCGGCGACAAUAGAAAACAGCAAAUAAGACAACGAAACUUCGGAAAGCAAAAUCUGCAAACUAACGACUCGGUGUAAACUUGUGGUUACACAGUAUUUAAUUCGGUGGAAGUAAAAGAAAAAUGGUGUUGGUUUUUAGAAAGAAGACAGAGCAUGAGUAUGUUUUUGUUUUAAUACAUGAUGAUUAAAGAAAACUAAUCUGAUUAAAUCUAUAGAAAAGUGGUUGCUACAUGUUUUAAAAGAAAAUUCACUGCCGAAUUAAAGUAACUUGUAACAUUAAAAUUUAAAGUCAAACCCCCACACAAAUCAUUUUUGUGCUAGAGUUUUAACGACUAAUCUAGGCAAUCAUAAAAUCUACACUAAUUAGGAGGCUUCUCCCAUUCCCAAAAGCCCUUAAGCAUAUGGUGGUACUAAGGAGAAUAUGCCACUUGGAGCAAGAAAAAUAGAGACAAUACAAGAUUAAGCUAAAAGAAGAUUUGCACUAAAAUAAAAGUGUUUACAAAUGUGGUAUGAAAAUGAGAGAACAAAAGAAGAUCUAGCACUAUACUACCUACUAACUAGGAAAAAACUAGGUUAAAAAAAUUGUGAUUACAAGUAAAGGGGGUGGGGGUAUUUAUAGCUAGAAAUGUAGGGUUUAGGGGUAGGGUGGCUAAAUCUAAUCCAUCCAUGUGUGAUGUGUGUUGGGUAGAUCAUAGCCCUCCAUGUGCCCCUUAGUUGCCAACUCUCUUUAUUUCUUCUUUUCUUUUCCUUUUCUCCAUUUUCUUGCAUUUUCUCUUCUUUCUUUAUUUAUCUACAAUUUCCUGAAAUAAAAUAAAUAAGCGAUUAAUACUACGAAAAUAAACAAAAAAUAGGCACUUAAAUAUGCAAAAAUAUGGACUAAUCAAACUUCCCCAUACCUAUCUUUUGCUCGUCCUCGAGUAAAAAUCAAAAGAAAAGAAAAUAAACUAAGAAAACUAGAUGCGAUUCCUAGGCUCCUUUUCGUAGGCGUGACGGGUGAUUUUAGGUUCACCAACCCGUUAAACUCGUAGACGAUCUCUACAAGAGGAGUUUUGUCUCCUAAGGGUUUACAGAAGAUAUACCCAUAAAAUCUUCGAGACAUUCUAGCAAGUGUCUACUCGACUCGACUCUUAUUUCGUUGGUGUUAACAAAAAGCGUUUUUUAAAGAAAAUACGACUCAAAGACUCUUUUACUAAUAAUCAAGAUACAGUUGUCUCUAAUCUACUUGAAUCGACACAAAAAAAAAUUUACUAGAAAUCCAAGGUGUGUAAUGAAUUUAAGGCCUUUGAUGGAUCCUAAUCAUCUAAGAACAUUUUCUCUUUUUCAACCAAUUUUGAACUGACCCAAUCUCUAUCGAAACAAAUAUCUAGCCAAACUUCACAAACUCUUAUUCCUUUCUUUUUUUCUUUUUCUUUUUUCUUCUUUUUUUUUUUUUUUUUUUUUUUUUUUUUUUUUUUUUNNNNNNNNNNNNUAGCGAGCUUUGGGUCAGUGACUCCAAACCAAACGGUCUUAGGGCACUAGGUUUUGAAAUCCCCCUACGGACUUAAUUGCUCGAGUAACAAAGGCCACAAAACGAGACUAGCCAAUCUACUUUUGCCCAUUUAUCUAAAGAUUUUAUCGAUAAAGAACAAUGGGUAUUGAAGUAGUUAUUCCUUUUCUUCCUUUUUUUUUUCUAUCUUUUUUUAUCUCUUUUUUUUUUAUUCGCAAAGGUUCGAUUCGACAUUGUUUCAACAUGUGGGUUCUCUCUCAGGUAUCGAAUAAUAUCACUAGACAAUCUCUCCAUCAAAGGUCUUGUGCAAAUGUGUGUGCCAUCUUGGAAUUACGAGUACAAAUCGGUCGAUACAAGUUUCAAAAAGACAACCUUACUCAACUACGUUCAAAUUAUCUAAAAGACACUACAUAUAUAUACUUUUCGAAAACAUGCUAAACACCAACUACUCCUAAAGUUCGAGUGAAGGAAAGACAACUUAGCUAAAAGUGUCUCUAUUUUUGGAUUUUCUAAUUUUUCAUUUUUUUAGGAUUUUCAUUUUUUAGAAUUACACUAAAGCCCUCCCCAUACCUAAAUCAUGCAUUGUCCUCAAUGUAUGCAAAAGAGAGAAUUAAAAUGAGAGAGUAAAGAGGAAAAUUUAUUAACGAACGAAACACUAACACGACCCACACACUCACACAUUUCUUUCCCCAUACCUGAACUUCAUGAGGGAAGGCUCUGAGAAAGAAGCAAAUCAGCCAAUUCCGGAAGGAAAGAUGGGAGGAAGCUUCGAGAAAGAGUCAAAAUGUGUUCGAAAAUUUUUAGGCACAAAAACUUUCUCUAGCAUAUGACCAUCGUUCAUCCCUAUAGGACAAGUAUUACUAACAUUCUCCCUAAACCAACUUAAUGCUUCUUUAUUAUCAAGCAAAUUAGAGACUAUGAAAUCUUGGUUAAGGGACAAAUCACUAGGAACGAUGUAAGAAAUGAUGUCAUCCUCCCCUAAAGCUCUAUGUGAAUGAGGGAACAAUGAGUCAAAUGUUGGUGUUUCCCCAACAUGACUCGCAAAAUCGGGCCUAGGGUCAACACGAACAAUCUCGGGCGGAGUUUCCCAUUUUGAACAAAUGUCGUUUAAUUCUCCUAACAACUCCUCCGAGGUCAACUCUUUCAACGACUCAUGAUAUUCCCUAUUGUUCUCGUUGUUGACUUUGAAAUCCUCGUUGAGAAGAGACUCAAUCUCACUAUCCUCAAAACUAGACCAUGUGACAAACUUGUUGACCACAUUAACCCCUAUAGGUUGCUCAUAAAGCUCAUUGGGUUCUUUUCCUACGUUAAACAUGUUUAAAUCAAUGGUCAUGUUUCCAAAUGUGAGCUUCAUAGAACCAUUCCGACAAUUGAUUAAGGCAUUGGAUGUAGCAAGAAAAGGUCGUCCUAAAAUUAUAGGAAUUUGGUUCUUCGGAUUCGAGACGGGUUGAGUCUCGAGAACAACAAAGUCCACGGGAAAGAUAAAAUCACCUAUUUUGAUCAAAACGUCCUCAAUAAUCCCCUUUGGCAUUUUAAUGGAACGAUCGGCAAGUUGAAGGGUCAUAUUGGUGGACUUGAGAUCCCCUAAACCUAGGGCUUGAUAGACCGAGAAAGGAAGAAGAUUCACACUCGCUCCUAAAUCAAGUAAAGCUUUAUCCACAAAAGUAUUGCCUAUGACACAAGAAAUUGUAGGACAACCGGGGUCCUUAUAUUUCACGGGAAUUUGAUUCGAGAGAAUCGAGCUUACUUGAGAGGUCAAAAAGGCUUUCUUAGGAACAUGAGUGGUUCUCUUAUGGGUACACAAAUCUUUUAGACACUUAGCAUAAGAAGGAACUUGUUGAAUGGCAUCUAAAAGAGGAAUGUUUAUCUUGACUUGUUUGAAAACCUCUAGAAUUUGUUCCAUUUGGGCCGAUUGUUUAGGGCGAAUGAGUCUUUGUGGGUAAGGAACCUUUGGCUUAUAAACUUCUUCGUUGGGCUUUUGAGAAAUGGGCCCAGGACUAGGUUCACUCAUAGACUCACGGACUCUAGAACAUUCGGGCUUAUCCGGAAUAAGAUUCGACAAAGAAAGAUUUGGUUCAGGAAUCGACUCGAUUUGCUCCAUUUGGGCCGAUUGUUUAGGAGGAAUGAGUCUUUGUGGGUAAGGAACCCUUGGCUUAUAAACUUCUUCAUUGGGCUUUUGAGAAAUGGGCCCGGGACUAGGUUCACUCAUAUACUCACGGGCUUUUGAACAUUCGGGCUUAUCAUGAUUAGUGCUAGACAAAGAAGGAUUUUGUUUAGGAAUCGACUCCUCAUUUUCAUUCACGUUCUCACCAACUUUGUUAUCCACUUGGUUUCCCGACCUUAGAGAGAUAAUUGCAUUAACAUUCUCGGGAGGUCUUUGAUUGAGAGGAAACUUAGGAUUGACCUCGGGUUGACUUGGAAUUUGUUUUUCUCGCGCUCACACAACGUGCUAGCUAAUUGACUCAAUUGGGCCUCUAACUUAGAAACGGCUUGCACGUUAGAAUGCAAGAUUUGCCUAUCUUGGGUUAGGGUUGUCAUGAAAGUUUGUUGUGAUUGGGUCAAAUUAGUUUGCGAUUUCACUAAGGCUUCCAAACUCUUUUCUAAGGAAUUGAGGCGUUUAUCCGAAUCAUUGAAACCGGGAGGAUUCAAAGGAGUUUGAAUUGGGUUAUGACAUGAAUUUGGACCUUGAUUUGGGUAAGAGUUUGGGUUGGGCCUUUGUUGAAAAUUUGGUUGAGGAGUUGGAAAAGAAUUUGGCCCUUGAUUUUGAAAAAUUUGACCUUGGGUCCAUGAGAAAUUUGGGUGAUUUCUCCACCCGGGAUUAUAAGUGGGUGCAAACGCAUCAUUCCUAGGAUUUUGAAACAUCGCAUUUACUUGUUCAAGUUCGUGCGAAGGUUGGGUUCCGGGAUUUUGAAAAUUGUAAUUAGGGAGCAUCGACAUUUGUGGGGGAGAUUUACUAGUUUCUAAAGCUUCAAGUCUCCUAGUUAGGGUGGCUAGUUUGGCAUCGGUUGCCACAUUAUUUCCUAUCGAAUGCAAGCCCCUAGCGCUAGAUGACUGAAUUGACUUUUUGGGCUCCCUAGUUGACUCCCACAUCAUAGUCUUUUCCGCUAAAUCCUCGAAAAAUUCCCACCCUUGAUCCUCAUCUUUUUCCAUGAAUUUACCUUGGCACAUAGACUCUAAUAACGCGGUGGUUUGACUAUCUAAGGCCUCGUAAACUAUCUUGCAAAGUCUCCAUUUUUCUAUUCCGUGGUGGGGGCAUUGUGAGAGAAGAUUUUUGAAGCGGUCAAAGAAAAUCCAAAAAGACUCAUUUUCCUUUUGAUGAAAUUGAUUUAUUUCAUUUGUAAUUCGAGUAGUCUUAUGAUUUGGAAAAUACUUUUUAAGAAACACCACAACGAACCCCUCCCACGUGGAAAUAGAAUUAACGGGAAGACUAUAUAACCAUUUUUUCGCAUUCUCCUUAAGCGCAAAAUUAAUGAGCCUAAGUCUAAUCGAAUCUUCCGUUAAUUGGUGGAGCUUUUGGAGGGAACAAACUUCCUCGAACUCUUGGAUAAAAAGAUAAGGAUCCUCACCCUCACUCCCGGUAAAUUUAGGUAACAUGCUAAUGUGGUGAGCUUUGAUUUCAAAAUUGUUCCCAUUAACGGGAGGAAGGGUGAUGCACGAAGGUUGACUUGAACGAGAUGGAUAACAACGAUCCUUGAGUGAAAGGGCCAUGUUUACUAUCGGUUCUAGAACUUCUAGGGUUUCGGAAUCCGAAGAGGACGAGGGAAUCUCGAUUAUAGGUCUUACUAAUCUAGACGAUUCGUUCCUAACCCAAGUAGUUCGCAUAAACUAGAUAGUAAACACGUAGCAAGUAAGUGCGAAAAAUUAAAACACACAAAAGAAAGGGUGUAAAAGAGAAAGAAAAACCUAAAUCUAGGGUUCCCUAAAAAAAAUGAACUAGACCUUGCUCCUAACGUUAAGGACCACCAAAAACUCGAUAAAUCCAAAAUUAUUCGGACCGGUUUGGCCAGUUUGGAGCAGGCAUUGCCAAGAGGCCAAUCUCCGCGCUUAGACACCAAACCUUAAUCGGCCAGGUAAGCUUUCGCUUGCCUUAGACACCGAAAAGUCGGAAUAAUUAAAGAUUACCUCGUCUUUUAGGUACCUUCCUAGUUGAGCGCGAAAUCCUAGGGGCUAACGUCUAAUUCAAUUUUAUUAAAAGGCUAGGGAAUGCAAAAUGAAGAAUUAAGUCGUUGUGGGCCAAGGAAAGAGUGAUGAAAUCCCUCCCCUUAUCUUGUGAUUGGGUUUUGCCCUUAAGAUUUAUUUAAAAUGAUGCACCACACAACGAUAUAAUAAAAGCGGUAAACAAAUAGGGAUGAAUUAAACUACGUGUCCUAAUCUAGAGAAAAGAAAGAAAUUAACGCACCUUAGGGUCCUCCAGCGAUCACCACAAAUAGGUACGAAAAUUUAAAAACAAAAAGUAAAAUCUAAAUGAUGUGCNNNNNNNNNNNNNNNNNNNNNNNNNNNNNNNNNNNNNNNNNNNNNNNNNNNNNNNNNNNNNNNNNNNNNNNNNNNNNNNNNNNNNNNNNNNNNNNNNNNNNNNNNNNNNNNNNNNNNNGAAUACUCUUCCUCGAAAUAAAAACAAAAAGUGAGAAAACAAACUAAUCCGAAAGAUUAAAAAUGAAGGUGCGAAAAAUUAAUUAUAAUCCCCGGCAGCGGCGCCAAAAACUUGAUGUGCUAGAAAUAGUACCUUUAAAUCGCAAGCGCACGAUCACCGUUUUAAUAUAAUUAGAUUCGUCCACAGAGAUUAAAAAUAUUUUCGCAAAUCUUUACUUAAAACCUAGGCGGAAUAGAACAAUUAAUUUGGAAUUUUGAGGAUAUAUUUUUUACAAAUUCAAGAAUUAAGAAGUAAAAUUAAUUUGAAAAACAUCUAGUAUGAAAUCCUUGGAAAAAGAAAACAAAGUGAAGUUUCAAAUUUCAUUUAUAAAUUAAGUAUACAAUGCAGCAUAAUUCGUUUUGAAAACAAAAUGCACCCAAAAGAAGUCAACGAAGAUUAUGACUAAAAGAAAACUAAUACUAGCAAAUAAAUCGGCUGUGCCUCCACUCAAACACCAAUAAUAAACAUACUUUCGUUUAUUAAACAACACCACGAUUAAUCAGUAAAAACACCACUUCAACAACUCACAGUAUUCAGCAAUCAUAUUAAAAUAGCUUGCUCUAAAACGGAACGAAACAGCAUGGCAAAUGUGACUCGAUGACUCAGUAACAAACAUGAACUCGGCCGUGACUCAGGACAGACCCAGUCGACUCAGUACUCGACGAAAUCGAACUCAAACCAACAAAACUACAAAACCCAGCAUAAUCAAACUUAACUCAGCAAAGAAAACAGAGCAUGGCGACACAGACCUGACUCAAAUGCAGCGGCCAGACUCGACAAAACUCGUAAACAGAGCAAGAUUCAGCAGUUUAAAACUCGGAACAAACUCGACUCAGAACAGACUAAACGCAACAACUCUGUAAAAACGACAAAACAGGACUCGGCGACUCAGUAAAUCGCAGCAAACAAAACCCAACAGAACAGAACUAACAACAAAAACGAAGCAAAAAGGACUAAACUCGGUAAAGGACAGCAACGAAAUCGGCCAAGUGACUCAGCACAAAGACCCAACUCGGAUUCAUCGACAACAGGGGAACUCGUACACGACCCAUCAAAAGAAAGAAAAACGCAGCAAAGAUGGGGAGUCGGCGACAAUAGAAAACAGCAAAUAAGACAACGAAACUUCGGAAAGCAAAAUCUGCAAACUAACGACUCGGUGUAAACUUGUGGUUACACAGUAUUUAAUUCGGUGGAAGUAAAAGAAAAAUGGUGUUGGUUUUUAGAAAGAAGACAGAGCAUGAGUAUGUUUUUGUUUUAAUACAUGAUGAUUAAAGAAAACUAAUCUGAUUAAAUCUAUAGAAAAGUGGUUGCUACAUGUUUUAAAAGAAAAUUCACUGCCGAAUUAAAGUAACUUGUAACAUUAAAAUUUAAAGUCAAACCCCCACACAAAUCAUUUUUGUGCUAGAGUUUUAACGACUAAUCUAGGCAAUCAUAAAAUCUACACUAAUUAGGAGGCUUCUCCCAUUCCCAAAAGCCCUUAAGCAUAUGGUGGUACUAAGGAGAAUAUGCCACUUGGAGCAAGAAAAAUAGAGACAAUACAAGAUUAAGCUAAAAGAAGAUUUGCACUAAAAUAAAAGUGUUUACAAAUGUGGUAUGAAAAUGAGAGAACAAAAGAAGAUCUAGCACUAUACUACCUACUAACUAGGAAAAAACUAGGUUAAAAAAAUUGUGAUUACAAGUAAAGGGGGUGGGGGUAUUUAUAGCUAGAAAUGUAGGGUUUAGGGGUAGGGUGGCUAAAUCUAAUCCAUCCAUGUGUGAUGUGUGUUGGGUAGAUCAUAGCCCUCCAUGUGCCCCUUAGUUGCCAACUCUCUUUAUUUCUUCUUUUCUUUUCCUUUUCUCCAUUUUCUUGCAUUUUCUCUUCUUUCUUUAUUUAUCUACAAUUUCCUGAAAUAAAAUAAAUAAGCGAUUAAUACUACGAAAAUAAACAAAAAAUAGGCACUUAAAUUUGCAAAAAUAUGGACUAAUCAC
rnacentral:lncRNA from 1 species